rnacentral:lncRNA from 1 species
AAAAAAAAAAAAAAAGAACCAUGAUCGCAUCAUUAUAUCGUGCCUCGUUACCAUGUUUAUAUAUAUAUAGACCCACACUUCCUCCUCCAUUAUCGUUAUAACACCAGCCAGCUAAUCCUCUCCAUCUUUAUAACUACCGCCCUGCAUCUUGUAACUAGCUAACUCUCCAUACAUACCAAAACAUUUUAUUCCCUAAAAUUCCCAGUUUCUUUUCGUGUCAUAAAUGGGGUCUCAAAGAAAUAAUCAAUACUUGACAAUGAUACUCUUUGUUACCAUUUUUUUCCUAUCCUGUUCCCAGCGAAUUUUGGCAGCGAGGCUAUUAAUAGGGAGAGAUCAGAGGGGCCACGUAGUUUCCUGUUCUGUAUGCACAUAUGCGUGUGCUGAAUGCCAUGGCAACGGUCCUCCUAUGAUAUGACGCGGGAGGAGUGGGGUGUUUUGAGCUGUAGCUAAAUUAUGGAUGAAUAAUCUAGGGUCGGUUUUCCUUAUACUUGCCAGUAAGUAACUUGGAAUGCAUAGCUGCCCUUAGUGUGUCACUUUUUUUUUCUUUUUUUUCUUUUAUCCAUGGUUUGGGGCGUGAUAAUUAUUUCUGUAUAGUUUGCUCGUAGUGGUUACUUAUUUUGACCAUGUUCUUGUUUUGGUGGUCUAUUCUCUCCUUGAAAACGCUCCCUUUCUCUUUAAAAUCUUGAAUUAAUCUAAAAUCGAGUUUUAGUGCUGUUUUAAUUCCAUUCAAAAUACCAAAUGGGAAGGUGAUGAGAGAAGAAAAACGAAAAAGGAAAGAUGAAAAGAUAAAGAAGAGAGGUAAUCAUGAUCCUGAAACCAACGCCCAUGUAUGAAUAAAGAGUAGCUAGCGCAAGACCGCAGAAGGAAAGGAAAUUGCAAAACCCAUGAAUAGUGUGCACCUGCAAGCAAUCAUUCCAGACAGCAGCCAGAUAGAAAAUGUCAAUUUUCAGCUUAACCAAGCAUACAGCUCGAUGCCUCAUUAGUUGACAUAAAUUUAAUAUUAGGAAUAUAAGGCUUCCCUUUUGACCCCAUGAAUACGCUGUUGAUGAUAUAUAUAUGAUGCUUUCAUAGCCAUGUUUUAUUUUUUUUUAUAAUCUUACUGCAGGUAACCAAAUUGAUCAUAAGCUCAGCCUUUGCUUUAGGUUUCUUUUCUUAUUGAUCGUCUGGGCAUUAUACAUAUGUAUUGUGGAAUAGUGGAGAAGAAGAUGUUCUGGCUUUUGCAAAUUAUUCACACAGCCAGAUGGAAUCUUACUGGAUGACUUUUUCUCAUCAAUUUGAUAGUUUAGUAUUAAUUGAAUAAUUUUUUUCUAUAUAGGAUAUGUUUCCUUAAAAAUAAUAAACCUCUCUAAGCUCCCUAUCUUUUCAGGACAACCAUAAAAUAAAUCUAUCUUCUCACUCUCCUGCCAACUCUCUUCUUAUCUCCCUCCAGUCUUCUACGAUUUAAAAUCAUUUUUACAUUAUUAUUAUUAUUAUUAUUACCCACUUACUUUACUUUCAAAUCAAUUUGCGAGUCGUUUCAUCAAUUUGUCAAGGUUAGAGGAUUCACUAAUGGUAUUUCAAAUAAAUAUAAUAUAAACUCUUUUUAUUACUCAACUAGAAACCACACACAAAGGAGGUUCUAAUCGGAUGAUUUAUCAUUAAUGGCUCAUUAUAAAGUAUUAACAUGAUCAUAUUAAUUAUCUUGUCUAAGUAACACCAUACUUAUAAAUAUCAUCAGGCAUUCAUGUUGCUAGCUUGUGUUAACAACAAAUCAAGUUCCUAUCAUAACAACGAUGUCGGCCGAAAACUAUGAAGGAUCAAGCAUUUGAUGUAACAAGUGUUAUACAACAUAAAUCUAGAUUAACCAUUUAACAAGCAAGGUAUUAAGGAUUAAUAAGAAAAAAAGAUAAGACAUGCUAAUAACAAUUUUUCUUGGAUAUAAACAUUAAAGUCCAUGUUGAGUUUAUAUUAUACCUAUUCUAACACCAUUAGUAAAACCUUUUCACCUUGACAUAAUUAACUUAGCUAAACAUAAUGAAGAAGAAAAACAUAAAUAAACAACAUAAGAACAUAAACAUGAUAUAAGUUAACUAAUUAUAGGAAAGGAAAUGAAAAAGCAUAAACAAGAGAUUAAUAUAACAUGAAAGAAAACUUGAACAUUACAAAGAUAUAAAGAAAGAAAGCAAGAACAUGAUUUUGAUCUGAAAACCAAGAUGACUAAAUACAUGGCAAAUGCCUCCUUUUAUAGGCUAAGAUGUGGAACUAUUGCUUGGUGGACUAAGGAAAUAGUUGGUGGCCAACCAUUGAUUUGGUGGCUGGUUUUUGACAUUGUUGGCUGCUGGUUCUUGAAAUUGUUGGCAGAUUUUUGAUAUUGUUGGCUGGCCAAAACGUCAUUGCUAACAUCAGAAUUUGAGCCCUUUGUUUCAUGAAAGCUGUGGGUAAUUGUCUCAGAUUUCCAACAAAAAAAACCAGAGCUCAUUUGGACUUCUAGAACUCAAGAUAUGAGCUGAAAACCGAACAGUGUUUGAGCUGCAGGACAGGUUCCGACUUCUCCGUUGUUGCUAAGAUUUGAACUUGAAAACGGCAGAAUUGAGUCUUGGACCCUUCAUGAAAGUUUUAGGUCUAUGUCUUAUCUUUCCAUCCAUAUAAAGUGGACCUAAAUCCGAGUUCUACAACUCCAGUUAUGAUCAAAUAACCGAAUGGUGUUCUAAUUUGGAAUUGAACCAGCAUCUCUUCUCUUAGCCUAGUCCUCUUUUUGUCUCUUCACUUUUAAUUGUUAAUCACAUCAAUCAAUCCUUUGAAUUGUGAGAUAUACCUGCAUUCAAAAUAAGCAUUUACCAUAAAUUAAAGAUAUAUUAUAUUAUUAGACUUGUUAUUAUAAAAUAUGCUUUAGUUAGGGAAUUUAACGAUACUUUAGUGCAAUACGAUGAUAUAAAGCCUUAAUGAGAAUACACUUUUAAGUACUAAUCAAUGGACUCACCCAUGGAUACAUUGGUUAGAUAAUUACAAAGAGUUUGGCAAGAAAUGCAUGAAAUUAGAAUCGAUCAACAGAGUGACCGAUGGAUUAACAUCUGUUGCUGAAAUUUAUACGCACCGAUGGAACCACCGAUGUACUAUAAAAUAGUUAGAGAAUUAUAAAGAGUUUGGAAAGAAUUCAUGAAAUUGGAUUGGCCAAUGAAAAUACUAAUGGAUAAAAAUUCAAUGGUGAAUUUGGGAUUUUUCAAGAAAUUUUAGAAAUUUUUGAAACUACUGAUGGAAUCACUAAUGGAUUUAAAUGUUUUUGGCAAUGAGCUAGUCAGUGAUGUGUUGACAUGAUAAAUCACUAACGGAUUCACCAAUAGAAAAUUAUAUGGUGAAUUUAAACCAAAAUAUAUUGGGGUAAUCCCUAAUUUUUCUCCCAUUUCCCUAAAAUACCCCAUUUCCCUUCCCCUCUCUCCUCUCUCUCUCCCUCUAUCUUUAACCAGUGGUAGGCAUUCUCUCUCUAGAAUCAGUGGUGGCGACUCUCUCUCUCUCUCUCUCCUUUAGAUGGUGACGACACAUUAUCUCUCUCUCUCUCUCUCUCUCUCUCUCUCUCUCUCUCUCUCUCCACUUCCUAAUGUUUGAUCUUGAUCGUUUGAUGUUUUUUCCCCCUAUAUUUAUUGAUUUUUUCAUGUUUGUUAUGAGUUAAAAUGCAUGCUUUGUUAUUUGGGAGGGAUGAAAGCUAGUUUAUUUUGGGUUGGCCAUGGGGAAGCAUUGGGGAAAAAUGGAAAUUUUGUUUAAAUUUAUAAUAUUGUAUGGUUAUUAAAAUUAUAGGUAUGGGUAAAUUUUGUUUAGAAAGGAAUUUUAAUUUGUAUACGUGAUGUUAUUUACAUAUUGUAUGGGUGUUUGAAAGAAAUAGGUGAAUGUGAUUUUAUGUUAGCUAGUGAUAUGAAUACUUAUGGAUUAAAAAAGAAAACUUAGAAAUUGUUUAUAAUUGUAUGUGAAACUGUUAAAUGAGAUUGUGUAUGGUGUUUUAUUAUUGGGAAGAAAUAUGCUAGAAUGGGUUGAGCAAGUUAUGGAAAAUUAUAAAUGUUAUUUCAAAUUCGUUGAAUGAUUACUUGUAACUUUUGGGAAAUUUUAGAAAUAGAUUUAAUUGUUUAGUUGAUUAAGAUAAGUGUUGAUACUUAAAAAUUAUUUGGUUCUUUAAAUGUGGUUUUUUGUAUUUUUAAAUUUUUUUGGGUAGCGUUUUGUAUAGAAGAGAUGUUGCCAAAAUCUUGUUGAAAGUAUAUAGAUGCACUAGAACAAAAACCCAUAAACCAUAGAUUGAUAAUUUAAUUUAAUAUGCUUAAUUAUUUAGUUAUAUUGUAUAGAUGCCGAGAAAAAGUUUAGGGUCAAAAUGAAGCGUUUUUCUUCUUCAAGUAGUAUUAUUCUGGAGCAUGUGGUGCAUUUAAAUGAUGAUCAUAAAUACACACCUGAUGCACAUGUUAGUGAUACAAGAUCAUUGAUUAUGAGUCGUAGAUCUAGCAUCUCAUCUGCAAGAUAUCCUUAUUCUGGUAAGUUAAUAGCAGAAUGGAAGCUGAAUUUAAGCAUGUAAAAAAAUUAGUUCCUCAAAGAUAACAUUAAAUUAAUGAUUAAACUUUUAUACGGUUUAGAGUUAAUUAAUUGAUUUUCAAGUUCACAAAGAUGGAAACUAAACGAACAAUAACAUCAGCGAUAAAAAUAUUGAUGUAAGUGUCUUUGUUUCAAUGAAGCAAGCUUAGAGAUCAACAAAAUGGAUCUACACAGGUACAUUGCUAAUACGUUCGCCUUGGACGACCGACCGANNNNNNNNNNNNNNNNNNNNNNNNNNNNNNNNNNNNNNNNNNNNNNNNNNNNNNNNNNNNNNNNNNNNNNNNNNNNNNNNNNNNNNNNNNNNNNNNNNNNUGCAAACUUUGGGUUCCAAGCGAGUUUGGAAAAAUCAUAGCGCAACAAUUUCUUUUAUAAAAUUGUAAUAUUUUUUAUCGUUAUAUUUUUUUUAGGUUAACAAACUUUUGAACCAAAUUGCACAAUUUUUGGUACGACACACACUUAUGCUAAUAAAAGAGCCGAGUUAGAUGACUUUAAGGUGUGAAAGUAUUUUAGAUCUCCCCAUAAUGCUGAGAGUAAUUGGGAGAGAUAUCUAGAGGUCUUGAUUUCAGAGGGUUUUAGGAGGCGAUCACGGAGUGAAUCCUUGACAAAAUAAGGAGACUCACGGUUCUAUUAGUAAACAUAUUGGCGAGUCACUUCCUUUUAUUAACCAUGCAAAACACCUAGUAAGAGCCUUUUUUAUUUUUAAGUAUUUUUCUUAAAAUAUUAGUGAUUAUUUAUGACAUUGUUUAACUAAUGACUUAUUUUAUAGGCUACACAACUUGGGUGCAAGCCAACUGCAAUGGAGUUAUAUAUGAAAACACAUAUAUGGAGGGAGGAUAAACAGAAAAAGGAUGCAACAGUUCGUGGACAACCAAGUUAAGGUGUUUAUUGUAAGUAAAAUUCGAGACCUUUUGUAUACUUUUGGACUAAUGUUUUUUUUUUUGUCAACAAUUUUUACUCUUUUUUUGUUGUAGGAACAAUAUAACAUUGGCAUGCAUGCCAAACCAAAGUUGUGGUUGGAAGCUAGAGCAACUGAUGAACUCAAUAGAAAUUGAAUUUAUGGUAUCUCUAUGUCUACAACUUGAUAUAUCAGGUCGGUUUGUAGUAUCUCAACUAUAAACACCGUAUAAUUCAGCCCGAGGUAGCCAUCACUAGUUCUUCAAGAGUUGCUUGAAGAACAUGUUGUUGUUGUUGCAAUGAUUGAUUUGAGGGUCAAAAUAGAGGCAAAGUAUGAAGAACAAAGUAUAAAGCAAUGAGAAGAGAAGAUGGCAUACUUGUCUGGUCAUUAUCCUUCAUUUUAAGGACCUCCACGAGAUUUCCCUCCCUCUCCACCCCCACUUCCACUUGCAACUCCAACUUCUUUUUAAUGUAUAUAAACAUUUGUAAUUGAUUUUUAUAAUAAUAUGAAAAGUGUUCAAUUUAAAUUAGUUGUUUAAUGUCAAAUUGUUUGAUCCAAAUAAGCAUGUAUUUUAAAAACAAUUACUAAAAUAAUGAUGGAAUCACCGACUAACAUAAAACUUUUGUCGGUGAUUUCAUUGAUACAACAAGCCCAUUCUCCUCUAAGAGUUACAUAGAGUUGUGAACCAUUUUGAUAUAGUCUGAUGGAUUCAUAAGCAGAACAUGUUUGUCGGUGAUUUGGUUGGUUAAUCCGUCAAUAAUACAUGAUAUAUUAUCGACGAUCAAUUCAUCGGUGCUUCAUCAGGUAAUAUUUACCAACAAAUAGAUUGACCGAAAAAUGGUCGAUGCCUAUUUAUAUCCCUAAUAUGAAUAUUAUAUCACUCUAUCCAUUAGCAUUGAAGUCAUCGACUGAAUUACUGAAGGAUUUUAAAUCCUUGAUGAAAUAAUCGCUGAUGACACUUUUCCAUAGAUAAAUUCGUCGGUGAUUUUUAUACCGACCAAAAUAUAACUUUUACACAAGUGAAAUAUUUGAAGAUCACCCACAGCACGUCGACCAUCAUGUAACAACUUUCCACCCUAAUAUGAUGUAAAUAUAAAUUAUUAAUCCAUAAAUAAAAUGCAACGGUUUUGUUGAAGCCUAUCAAAAGUAACAAAUACUUAUAACAUUUUGAAUCCAACGUGCAUGUGGCUUAUUCUCCAUCUCCUCGCAUGGAGGAACUUGCACUGGGUUUGGUAUAAUGAUUUAACGUGUUAUACUCAGGUGCCAACCCAUGUAUUUCUCCUAAGAAAGUACACGAUGCAUCUCUCUAAAAUAAAAUUUCUUCAUGCAUCCCAUAUCGAUAUAUACUGGAGAUGGUAGAUUAUCCAAUUACAAUCAGCGUGCUUACCGAAAUGACUAAUGGAAUGCAAUUGAUCGCUCGUAUAAAUGUUAGAUGAGAUGUAUUGCUUAAAGCCAAAUUGUUGCAUUACACGGUCUGGGAAAUGCAUCUCAACAAGCUUAAAAAAUAAAAGGGGACAACUGAUGUCAAUAGUCAAUGUGAAUAUAACAAGAGCAACUUUUAUAUCAUAUUCUGAAUAAGGAUUCUACACAACUUAUUGAAACAUCAACAAUGCAAUUAUUUUCCAUUAUUUACCAACAUCAACCCAUGCAGUUAUUUCUCAUCAUUUACAAACAACAUAAUUUUUUUUUAUAUCAAUAAUGUAAUUAUUUGUCAUCAUUUACCAACAUCAACCUAUGCAAUAAUUUCUUAACAUUUAUCAAUAUAGAAAAAUUAAAUAUCAACGCAAAUAACAAUAAUAGUAAUACUAUUAUUCAUAUCAGGGACAAUAACACCACCAUAAUGACACAACAUAAAGAAGUUUGAAGAUAUAUUUUUUAAAAUAAAAAUACUCAUUUCACCAAAAACAAAUUAUCUCACAAUUCAAUGCAAACCCUAAUUGCUAUUACUUUGGCCAUAAUAAUAGCAAUAAAAAAUAAUUAAUUGCAUCAAUUAAAAAGUAAAUGAUCUUAAUUGAACAAAAUCUUCAAUUACAAUAAUGUUUACAAAAGUUCAAAGUAAACUAUAAACGCUAUGAUUUCGACCAUAACCUUAUUAAUAAUAUCAAUUGAUUAAAAGCCUAUCUAAUAACAUCAAUUAAAACAAAAUUUAUAUCAAUUCAAAUAAUAUAAUUAAAUAUGACAAGUAACUCAAUAAUCAGUUUAAACCCUAAUUUCUCUAAUCCAAACACAUAAUUGCAAUAUUCAUAACUUAAAAUUAUCUAAUUAUCAAACACAACACAAAUACCUAAUUAAAUCAAAACAUAAAAUUUAUCAAUUCAAUAAUAAAACUCAUCAAACCCUUGGGCAAACGGUUUGCAAGAAAAAAAAAGAGUAGAAAGACUCGUGGAGACAUGAGGAAGAUGUUUCUAGCGUUUUGGUGGAGGAUUAAACAUAGUUUUGGGUGAUUGGAGGCUGGUUUUUAUGGGGGGUUUUCGGUUUCUAGGGUUUUCUUCUUUGUAGAAGCGGCGACCAUCGAGAAAAAGAGGGAGAGAUUAUAUAUGCAUCGUAAUCACAAUUUAAAAUCGUGAUGUUAUUAUAUAAUUACUAUUCUGAAUCGUAGUUGUUAAUUAAAGAAUCGUUAUUCAUUAAACCAUGAUUUAAAGUUACCAUUUUUAUCUAAAUUGUUAUUUUGAAUAAUAACGAUACAAAACAACAUUGAUUUUGAAACUAUAUUAUUUCCUCGAAAUUUUUCAAAAUUGUAUCAUUUUCUAAUUACUUUCUUCAAAUUGUGUUGUUUUUCAAAAAAACUGAAUUACGUGCCCGUUGCAUUUCCCUUAUGGAGAGGCAGUUGGAGACAUUAUUAUGCCUGCCAACGUUUUCUUUUCUUUCCUGCUUUAAUUAUUAUGUACGCCAAUGUUUAUUUGUUUUCUUUCUUCUCUUUUUUGCUUUCAUUAUUAUGUCUGCCAAUGUUUUCUUAUCUUUUCUUUCCUCCUCUUCUUUUCUUAUCUUAUCUUUCUUGCUUUCUUUCUGUACUGUUAAAAUGACUUGGAAAGGAAUGAAUGGGAUUCUUAAGACGGACUAGACAAAUUAUUAUCAUGUUCGUCUACAAAUAUCUGAUGGAAAGUUAAGGCCCUACGAAUAGCUAGCUAGGGUCCUUCAAUAUUCCAAGUUGAUUAGAUGGUCCUCCAAAUGUUUUUCCUUACAAGGACAACUUUUUUCUCCCAUGCGUUGUGGAAAGUAAAGCCUCUGAUUUAAGCAUUUCUCUGUCAUUGUGGAAAGCAAAGCCCGAUACAUGACAAUACUUUCCUCGUUAUAUUCUUCUUUAAUUUCGUUAUUAUUAUUUUUUUUUUAAUAUGAGUGUCCGGGCUACUUUGUGCGGACCUCGACUAAUCCCACGAGCCCUGAAGUUAACAACCAUAUAAGCCUCUAGUGACCAUCAUAUUUGUAACCACAUGACUCGAACCUGAAAUCACAUGUAAAUUAAAACUUUUGAUUUCAAGUUCUUAUUACUGAGCUAGCUAGUAGAUGGUUACAACUAUAAGUUUUGGUUUAGAUAUAGAUGUAGUUGGGUUUUUUAAUUUAAAAAAAUAAUGUAAUAUGGACGUCAUAUUUUCUGCAUAGAGUGUAUAAUAGUCCAUCUAUUUUUUAUUUUUAUUUUUCAUGUUUGAAAAAAAAAAUCUUAUAACCCGGUACUCUGCUUGUGUUUGAAAUAUAAAAUUUAAUUUUGAUUUUACACUUUAUUGAUUAAAGUAAAUAAAGUGGCCAUUGCACCAGAAUCAUGAUAUGCUUCAAACUAUACAUUGAUUACAAUAUAACCGAGAAUAUCUUUUUAUCAGAGGUUAAAUCCAUUAUCAAAAAAAGAAUUUAGUAAAAAAAUUUCUUUGAAGUGAAGCGAAUAAAAGCUUUAUUCUUUCAUAAAUAUUCUUGUGCAAUUAAGAAUUGAUUUUUCAUCAUGUACAUGCCAGAAUUAAUUUUAAUUUUAUAUUUUAUACAACUGUUUAAAAAUUCUUGAGUCAUGAAUUUUUAAUUAAAACUUGCUUUUUAAAUCAUUAUAUGUUUUAAUUUAAAAACAAUGUAUCUGAUAUAAGAAAAAUAGUUUUAUCAAAACAAUAAAAACAAAUACAUGAAUAAGGAAUAUUACACCUUUUAGUUUUUAUUCAAAAAACAUGUUACUGAUAAAACAAAUACUUUGUUAAAAAAUACAUGAAUAAGAAAAAAGGAAUUUGGCUUAAAAAGUACACUUUUUUUUCAGAAAUUAAAUCAUUCUUUUUUUAUAAAUAUUUAUUUUAAUUAUCAAAUAAAAAAAAAUUUCCCCUAUAACGAAUAUUUAUAUUUAAAUAUCAAAUUAAAUAUUUAUAUUUUCAUCAUGUUCAUGCACCCUGCGAAUGGACAAGAUUAAUAUAUAUUCCAAAAACGCAUGUUCAAGUAUACCUAUCGUGAUUCUUUUUCCAAGUCAAGGUCAACCGACUAAUUAAUUAUACGAAAAAGGAGUUAUAAAUUAAAUAAUAACAAAUUAGUCACAUGUCCCAUUAAUAGUUUCUUUGUAUGAAAUUUCUUCGUGUCCGGUAAGUGUCAUUUUUAUCAAAACAAUAUAUUAAAUUUAGUGGAUAAACAAGCAUGCCUAUGCUUUUUUUUUUUUUUAAAGCUAGGUGCGCAUGCUCGUUUUUUUAGCUAGACAUGCCUAAUGAUUUUUACUAUUCAAUUAUUUUAUGAAUAAUUAUAUAUAAUUUAAUAUGUAGAUUUAAAACUCAUGAAUAUUCAUAAGAAUAAAAUAUUUAUUAUUAUUAUUAUUUUUAUGGCUAAUUUUUUAUAUGAUUUUAUUAAAUUAAUUAAUUUUUUAUUUUUUAGACAACUAUUUAAAAAUUCUUGAGUCAUGAUUUCUUAAUUAAAACUUGCUUUUUAAAUCAUGAUAUGUUUUAAUUUAAAAACAAUGUUUCUGAUAUAAGAAAAAUAUUUUUAUCAAAACAAUAAAAAAAAUACAUGAAUAAGGAAAGGACGUUUUGAUUAAAGAUACACCUUUUAGUUUUUAUUCAAAAAAAUGGUACUAAUAAAAAAAAAUGUUUUGUUAAAAAAUACAUGAUAAGAAAAAAAAGAAUUAGGCUAAAAAGUAAAUUUUUUUUUCAGAAAUAAUCCUCUAUAAAUAUAUAAUUGUCUAUUUUUAAUUAUCCAAUCAAUAAAAUAAAAUUUUAAAAAUAUCUUGUGAUAUAGUAUGAUCACAAUAACUAGUAUGAUGAUAUAUAUAUAUAUAUAUAAAAGUAAUGAUUUAAACUGAGAUUAAAACUACAACUCAUAUUUUACUUUAUAGUGAGAUGGUUUGGAAGUUAUGAUUUAAGAUGGUACAUCGGUUGAGACAACAAGUUGAUAUUGUCUCAAUCUCUAGAUGAUUUUUUUUUAUUAUUAUGGAAUGGCAUCGUAUGAGGAUCUAUGUAAAAAAAAAUUGUGGUGUUUGUUUUUUUGGUAUAGUUUGAUUUGUUUGGAAUGCUAACAAUAAUCUAAUUUUUAACAAGAAAAAAAUAGCCUAGGAUGAUGUGAUUUAUUCCCUUUUUCAUCAUGUUGCUAUUUAGAUAAAAUGUAAUAAUAAGAAUUUUUAUUAUAUUAGAUUAAAUUUACUUUGUUCAUCAAAUUAUCUUAUAUAGACUAAUAAAAUAAAUAUGAAAAGUGAUUCUUCUAGCUUAUCUCCUCUUAUAGGUAUACUUAAGUGAAAUGUUGAUGUGUUUUAAUGACAAAUUUAGAUCAUGAAGAGAAGUUUCUUUAUAUUUUUUCUUUUUUUAAUAUGUAAUAUGGAAUCUAAUGAAACCUCGAAGUCUUAUCAAUUCAUAAAGCUAUGCUUUUGAAUAUUGAUUACUGCUAUGUUUCUACAGAUCCAUGGGUUGUAAAGUCAACUUCUUACAAUGUCAUUACUUGAAUUAAAGAAAAUAAUGUUAUGCGGCCUUGACACAUGCAAAGUGAAUUCAAUUAUAUAUAAAAAAUAUAUCAUAUCAUCCAACCAUCAUCUAUGACAGAUCAAUUGUUGUCGUCACACCACAACAGCUACAUCACCACCGAUACAAUAAAAAACCAUGAUAAAAAACUAUCUAGGUGGUAGCCUAGUGGUAAAAGCUUGGGACCAAGAUGUUUGCUCCCUCUGUGAUCUCAGGUUCGAACCCUGUGGUUGCUCAUAUGAUAGCCACUAGAGGCUUACAUGAUCAUUAACUUCAGGGCCCGGAUUAGUCGAAGUACACGCAAAUUGAACCAGACACCACGUUAAACUAAAAAAAAAACCAUGAUAAAAAAAAAAAACCAUGAUCGCAACAUUAUAUCGUGCCUCGUUACCAUGUUUAUAUAUAUAUGUAUAUAGACCCACACCUCCUCCUCCAUUAUCGUUAUAACACCAGCCAGCUAAUCCUCUCCAUCUUUAUAACUACCGCCCUGCAUCUUGUAACUAGCUAACUCUCCAUACAUACCAAAACAUUUUAUUCCCUAAAAUUCCCAGUUUCUUUUCGUGUCAUAAAUGGGGUCUCAAAGAAAUAAUCAAUACUUGACUAUGAUACUCUUUGUUACCAUUUUUUUUCUAUCCAGUUCCCAGCGAAUAUUGGCAGCGAGGCUAUUAAUAGGGAGUGAUCAGAUCAGUGGAUGGCACCCACCUUGCGGUUCUGUAUGUGAAUAUGAGAGCAAGUGUCCUGGAUGCCAUGGCAACGGUCCUCCUAUGAUAUGACGCGGGAGGAGUGGGUUGUUUUGAGCUGUAGCUAAAUUAUGGAUGAAUAAUCUAGGGUCGGUUUUCCUUAUACUUGCCAGCAAGUAACUUGGAAUGCAUAGCUGCCCUUAGUGUGUCACUUUUUUUUUUCUUUUUUUUCUUUUAUCCAUGGUUUGGGGCGUGAUAAUUAUUUCUGUAUAGUUUGCUCGUAGUGGUUACUUAUUUUGACCAUGUUCUUGUUUUGGUGGUCUAUUCUCUCCCUUAAAAACGCUCCCUUUCUCUUUAAAAUCUUGAAAUCUAAAUUCGAGUUUUAGUGCUGUUUUAAUUCCAUUCAAAAAAUACCAAAUGGGAAGGUGAUGAGAGAAGAAAAACGAAAGAGGAAAGAUGAAAAGAUAAAGGAAGAGAGGUAACCAUGAUCCUGAAACCAACGCCCAUGUAUGAAUAAAGAGUAGCUAGCAAGACCGCAGAAGGAAAGGAAAUUGCAAAACCCAUGAAUAGUGUGCACCUGCAAGCAAUCAUUCCAGACAGCAGCCAGAUAGAAAAUGUCAAUUUUCAGCUUAAUCAAGCAUAAAAAAAAAAGCAUACAGCUCGAUCCCUCAUUAGUUGACAUAAAUUUAAUAAUAGCAAUAUAUACAAGGCUUGCCUUUUGACCCCAUGAAUACGCUGUUGAUGAUAUAUCAUGCUUUCAUAGCCAUGUUUUAUUUUUUUUAUAAUCUUCAUGCAGGUAACCAAAUUGACAAGCUCAGCCUUUUCUUUAGGUUUCUUGUUUCUAAUUGAUCGUUUGGGCUUUGCAGAUAUGUAUUGUGGAAUAGUGGAGAAGAAGAUGAUGUGCUGGCUUUUGCAAUUUUUUCACACAGCCAGAUGGAAUCUUACUGGAUGACUUUUUCUCAAUUUGAUAGUUUAGUAUUAUUUGAAUUAUUUAUUCUAUAUAGGAUAUGUUUCCUUACAAGUAUUAAACUUCUCUAAGCUGAUAGUGAAACCAGUGGUGAUUUUUAAUCUAUAUCCACAACUAGAAAAUUCACGAAUAUAAAUAGAAAUAUCGGCGAAUUUUUUCUGUCAAUAUUUUUCGGUGAUAUUUAGUGAUCAAAUUUUUUUCAUCGUUAACUUAUUUUUGGGAAUAUAUCAUCAUUAUAUUCUAAGAGAAUCCCAGUCGAAAUAGAAGAAAUUAAAAUAAAAAACCAAAGAGUAUGAUGACACACACACCCACACACACACACACACACACAUAUAUAUAUAUAUAUAUAUAUAAGUUUUUACAAACCUCGACACCGACCAAAUUAUAGUUAGAUUCAAGCAAUCAAGCCGUACAAUGACGUGUCACUUACACCGAUAUGAUUGCCGAUAGUUUGACAGCUAAAAUAAUUUUAUCGGUAAUAUUUAAUAUAUGAAUAUCUGGCAAUCGACUCUCCUCUCCCCUUUCCCUAUUUCUCUUUCUUUCUUAAAAAGUAUGUGCAACAAAACAAACAGUCUCAACGUGUCACUUAUACCGACAAGAUUGCAGACGGAUUGACAGAUGAAAUAAUUUCAUCGGUAAUAUUUAAUAUAUGAUAUGACGAUCGACCCUCCUCUCCCCCUCCCUUAUUUCUCUUUCUUUCUUAAAAAGCAUGUGCAACAAAACAAACAGCCCCCAUCUCAACACAACUUAUCAUUUCACAACCUCGAUACUUUGUUUAAAAGCAUCCAUGUUUUCUAAUUGAAAUUUUAUUGUGAAUUUUUUAUUUUAAGUAAAUUUUUUCUUUUAAAAAAAUAGUUGAAUACAUUUUUAAAAUGUUAGGAAACAAACAAUUGAUACAUAUGAAAACAAUAUAAAAAGACAGCAAAUACAAAAAAAAAAAAAAAAAAAACCAAAAUUAUGUAAAUAAUGGUCACCCAACAAAAACUUUAAUUCAAAAUACAAGUAGUUUAAUUUAUUUAAGAGAUUUAUGAUUCCUUAAAUAAAUUUCAAAACUGACCUACAUACACUAGUAACCCUAAAAAUAAAGUAAAUAAUAAAAAUUUUAAAUAAACUUGGAAAUAAAAAAAAAGCUAAAAAGAACCUUUAUACCUAAUUUAAAACUACCCCUCUUAUAAAAUUAGACAAUUCAUAUCUUUUUGUAAAGGUGUUUAGAAGUGUGGUAUCUAUUGCAGUUUAAAAUGUUUUUUUAUUAAGAAAUAUAUUAAAAUAAUAUUUUAAAAAAUUAUUUUUAAUAUUAAUAUAUCAAAACAAUCUAAAAAUAUAAAAAAUAAUUUUAAACAAAAAAAUAAUUUUUUUAAAAAAACAUAAUUUAAACGGUAUUUCCAAUACUAUUUUAAACUCAUUAGAAAAGUCUAAAAAUAUUUUGACAAGGCUAUCAACGUAAUCCAGUUGUCGCAAACGAUAACCACCUGCGUGAAAAACGAAGCUCAAAUUUUUUCUUCAUAAUUUUGAUUAAAAGUUUAACAAGUGAUGGGUGCUUUCAUCUUUUUGUUGACAAGUCUCUGUUUUUUUUUUUUUAGUUUAAUAAGGGUGUCCUGGUCAUUCUUGAUGAAAUGAUAAUAAUUACAUUAAAAAACUAAUUAUUGAAAGGUUAAAUUAAAGUACUAACGACUUUCCUAAUAUUUUGAGGAUCAUUAUAGGUUGCUAGACAUUAUACUUGAUCUUCAAAUAUAAAUCAAUUAAUUAUUGAAUUGAUAAUAAAUUAAAUUGUUUAAUUUAUUUUAUCCUAUUUAUUUAGAAUUAUGAUUUAUAUUUGAGUCAAUUUAUUAUAAAACUUAAUGGGUUAUACACAUAAGAACCAUUGGUCAAAAAUAAAAAUUAGAUGAUUAAUCAAGUUUGACUUGAUUGUGAAUUUUAGAAAUUGAGAACUAGAAUGUAAUUAAUAUAGAGAAUUAUAAUUCUAAACCUAAAACAAUCUAGGUAUUUGAAUGAAUAAAUUUCUAAAGUUAUCCUAAAAUAAUAUAUGUGAUAUUAUUCAAGGGAAAAAUUGAUAUUUUGUCAUAUAUAGGGCUUUCAGGUUUCUUAUAAAUAAAAUGUUAUGUCACUUAUUUUCAAUACAACAAACAACAAAAACACCUGAAAUAUAAAAGAAAAAACCUAACACUUAAAGGUAUAACAGUGCCUUUUUUUCUCACUAGUAGUUUGUAUAGAUUAACAUUAUAGGCCUAACACUUAGAUGACUUGUGGUUUGUAAAAACCUAGUUUUGAAGCAAUUAUUUAAAGCAAAAAAAAACAUCUGAUCUUCAAGUGAUUUUCAUAUAAUUCUCAAACAACUCUAGAUUUGUCUAGUGGGAUCCUUGAUACUCUUGAAAAAAUUUAAAUUAUUGUUUCCGUCACGUAUAUAUCUUUUGGGAAACCUAAAAGUCCUAACACUCCUAGUUUCUAUAAAGAAUGGGUCAGGACAUAUGUGUAUGGAUAAUCGAGCCAUUAACCAGAUCACUAUGAAAUACUAGUUUCUAAUAUCAUGGUUAGAUGACAUGUUAGAUAAGUUAUUAGGUUUAAGGUUGAUCCCAAUAAUAGUUACCAUAUAAGAAUUAAGUCAGGAGAUGAGUGAAAGACAACCUUUAAAACACAACAAGGGUUAUAUGAAUAAAUAGUUAUGUCAUUUGGUCUGUCCUCCCAACAUUUUCAUAAGGUUCAUAUAACGGGUAUUGAGGUCACUCAUGGACAGAUUCAUUAUCUUUUAUUUCCUUGAUAUUCUGAUUUAUAGCCUACUUUUGAGUCUCAUUUAAAACAUAUGCAUGUUGUUUUUGACACUUCGAAGAAGGAGAAAUUGUAUAUGAAUCUUAAGAAGUUUAAAUUAUUCACUAGUACUAUUUCUUUUUUAUCUUUAUUAUGUCUGUUGAUGGUCUUCAAGUUGAUCCGUCUAAGAUUUUUGUAAUUUUGGAGUAACCAACUCUAAAUAGUGUUCAUGAUUUUCGAAGCUUUCACAAACUUCCAUCCUUCUAUUAAAAUUUUAUUUGAAAUGUUAAUUCUCUUAUUACACCUAUUAUUGAGUAUCUAAAAGGACACAACUUUUAGUGGAUAGAUAAGGCUGAAUCUAGCUUUCAGCUAGUGAAGAAGAAGAUGGGUGGGUAUUGUGACUAAAACUCCUAUAUUAGCACUUCAAUAUUUUAAGAAACUGUUUAAGAUAAACUAUGAUCCAUCUAGGUUAGGUAUUUAGGGAGUUCUUAAACAAGAUGGGAGGCUAAUUGCUUUUUUUUUAGAAGUUAUUUAGCUAACAAAGGAACUACUCCAUGUAUGAUUUGGAGUUUUAUGCUAUUGUUUAGAGUCUUAAGCAUUGAUAACAUUACUUAGUUUUGAAGUAGUUUAUCCUAAUCACAAAUCAUGAAGUCUAAAAUAUGUAAAUAACCAGCAUAAGUUAAGUUAUCGGUAUGAAAAGUUGGUGUCAUUUCUAAAAGAGUUCAUCUUUUUGUUAAGGCAUCAAUUGAGUGGCUUAAGCAAAGCUUGAUGCCCUUAGUAGAUGAGUUACUUUACUCAAUACUAUAUAUGCCCAGAUGAUAGAGUUUAAUGCUUUUAGAGAGCUAUUAUUAGGUUAUUCACCAUUUGAACAAAUUUAUUUUAAGUCAAUAAAUAGAGAUGAUUGAGAUAAUUUUAUACUUUUCAAUGGUUAUUUGUUUUAGGGUUUGCAACUAUGUAUUCUAUAUUGCUCUUUACAGGAACAUAUCAUCCAUGAAUUGCAUUGUGAGGGAUAAAUUGGGCAAGACAAGACCUUGGCUCUAGUGUCCAUAAAUUGUUAUUACUUCCAAGUUAAAUAUCUAGUAUUGUGAGGAGAUGUGCUCUUUGUUAUAGAUUCAAAGGAACCUUAUCAAAUGUUGGGUUAUAUACUCAAUUACCGGUUCUUCAUGCUUUGUGACUUGAUGUUGAAUGGAUUUUGUGUUGGGCUUACCUUGUAUCCAAUAAGCUAUGAAUUAUAUUUUUAUUGUUGUGGAUAAGUUCUUAAAGAAGAUCCAUUUCAUAGCAUGUUAUAAGACAAUAAAUGCUCUUAAAUAGCCUACCUCUACUUUAACGAGGUGGUUUGUUUACAUGACAUCCUUAAGUCCAUCACUUCAUAUAUAGAUUUAAAGUUUAUAUCUAACUUCUAGAAGAGUUUGUAGGGUACGAUAAGAACUCAAUUGAACUUUAGUUGUGCAUAUCAUCCUCGGAUAGAUGAGAAGAUAAAGAUGGUUAACCGAAGGCUUGGCAACUUGAUAUGAAGUUUAAUGGGAUACAAGAUAAAAUAAUAGGAUCUACCCUGGCUAGAAAUAGAUUUUGCUUUUAAUAUAUCUAAAAAAUAGACUAUCCAACUGAGUCUAUUCAAGAUUGAUAUGGAUAGAAUCCUUUUAAAGUCCUAGAGUUGAUGCAUGUUCCUCGUAUCGAAUAACUGAGUAUCCAAGUUGAUGGUAUGAUAGAUUACUUGCAUGGUAUUUAUGAGCCGGUCAAUAAGACGGUUAAUGAUAGCAAUGCCAAGUAUAAGGUCCCGACUAACACUCAUCAUAGAAGAGUGGUGUUUGAGGUUGUUGAUAUAGUUCGGACGAUGCUUAUUCAUGACAGGUUUCUAAUGAGGGAGUACAACAAGAUGGAGGAAAGAAAAAUAAGUUCUUAAAAGGUAUUGCAGAAGAUAAAUGGUAAUGCUUACAAACUUCACCUUCCUAUCCAUCUGAAGACUUCUAAUAUCUUUGAUGUCCAACUACUAAUACCCUAUCAAGAGAAAAAAAAAACAGAACUCGAGAUGAGUUCUUUUUAAUCAUGGGAAAAUGAUGCAUUUGGGCUUGUGGAAACUAAAGGUUAUACCAUAUUAGCACCUUAAAAUUGCAAUAACAGAAAAUCUAAUAUUGGAUCGGGCUUAUAUUUUUUCAAGUUAUUCUAUAAACAAUUUUCGUAUGAAAAGUUAUUGUGUUGCUUAUCAAUCUAUUGGAUCUUUUAAAAUUAUGACUUGAGCCUGAAUGCUACAAAAUGGGGUCAAAUUUUUUUUAUUUUUUCUAUGUUUUUUUGGUUUUAUUGUUUUAUUUGAAUUUUUUAGUUUCAUUUAUACUUUUAAAUUUUUAGUUGUUUUAGAGUAGAAGUAGGAUUUCCCGACACACAGUUUUCUGGUAAUGAUGAUCAGCUUGGUGAUACUAAUAAAGAAGACAAUCCACCUCUAAAUGCACGCGCCUAUGUACCCAUAGAUCAUAGUGGGUGCGGUUUUGGUACACCUCACGUUUGACCUAGUCAAAUGAUGAAUACAUGGAGGUUUUCACUCUUUUUUUUAUCCAUGGUUUUAGCCUUUGCGGUUUGCUAAUUAUUUAUGUGUCUUUUGCUGGUUUUGGUUACUUCCUUUGACCAUGUUCUUGUUUUAUCGUCGAAUAUUUCAUACCUUAAUUGAAUUAAAUAGUUAAAUUUGCGGUGGAUGCCUCACUUGCAACCCAUUUAAGCUUCACUUUUGUUGAAUCUUUCAUACCUUUCCAAUCAUUUUUCUUUAUCGAAUUUUUGCCGCAUUGUUAUGCAUAUAAAUGAGUCUCAUUUCUCUAAUAACUUAUUACCGUAUUAAUUUUUAAAAUUGAUUUUAAAUUUUAUUCAAAAAAAUUAAUUCUUAUGAUAAGUAAUCUAUUUUCAAUCUCUUUAUAUUAUUUUAUAUUUUUAUAAUUGUAUAGUGUUCGAUAAUUUCCUUUCGAAUAUCCUUUGAGUUGAAAUUCGAAAUAAUGUGGAAAUGUAUAAUUGAACCUUAUCGUAGUCUAUACGGCUACUUGAUGAAUCCAUGGAUGAUCCAAAAUGCCUUUUGAAUUCUGUAUGCAUCUAGUGCCAUGCUUCGUGUCUCAUAUAGGCUGUUUCACGUUUUAUAUAUAUAUAUAUAUAUAUAUAUAUACACCCCCUCCUUCAUUAUCGUUCACACGAGCUGCCUGAACCUCUCCAUCUUCACUACCACCCUUGUGUCUUCCUAACUAGCUAGCUCCAUACACAUACCUAAACAUUUUGUUUCUUAAAAGUCCCAGCUUUUUUUUCGUUUCAUAAAUGGAUUCUAAAAGAAAAUAUAAUCAAUACUUGACAAUAAUACUCUUUGUUACCAUUAUUUUUGUAUCAUGUUCCAACCCAAUAAUGGCAGCGAGUCCAUUAGGGAGUGAUGAUCAUCAGCUUGGAGAUAAUCCAGACCAACAUAUGCCCCGUAAUCCCGGCAAGGUCGAGCAUUAUAAUCCAUGCCGAUAUGUGCCCGGAAGUCUUAGUAGAUGCAGAGUUGGUGGACCUCCAGUUUGACGUAGUAAAAUGCUGAAUGAAUAAUCCAGGGAGGUUUUCUCUUAUACUUACCAAAAACUAGCCUGCAAGGCAUGUCAACCCCUAAAGUUUCACUUUUUUUACCCAUGGUUUUAGCCUUCUUUAGCCUUCGAGGAAUGCUAAUUAUUUCUGUGUCUUUUGCUGGUUUGAGUGUUACUUGUUAAUUUUGAUCAUAUGCUCUUGUUUUAGUGGUGUAAUAUAUAUAUAUAUAUAUAUAUAUAUAUAUACACACUUGAAAAUUACAAUACACACUACUUAAGACUAAUACAUGUCCAAAUAGAAAUUUACUCAAACAGCUCUGCAAAAUCAAUCAUUACUGUUUCAUGUCCAAAACGCUGAAAGCACCAUCACUUCAUUAGGCAAAAUCAAUCUUAGAUAGUCUCUUUAUUUAUUUUUUUGUAGCAGAUAAAUUUUUUUUCCCUAUAUUUGUUCUUUUUUUUGUCUUGUUCCUAUAUUUUGAUUUAGCUAUUAAUUUAAUAGCCUUUUUAAUAUACUCUCAAUAAUUAUCAAAAAAAAAAAAAACCCUCUCGUAAUAAAUUACGGCAUUAUGGAUUCAGCCAAAGCCAAUAACUCAGUCUGCUAAAGAUGUAGUAUAAAUAAUAAUGAAUUUAUUAGAUGAUGUUCAUCAAAAUACACUACUUCAGCAAAUUAUUUUAUAUAUGAUGCAUCAAAUUGAGCAACAGGAUGCCUCUAGAAUUGUUUCUUGCCGACUUACAUGUAUCCUACUAUAUUUAUUUAUUUAUUUGUCUGUGGCAAAACCAAAGAUUGGGUCAGUUAACAGGGGCGGAGCCAAGACAUUAAUUAGGUUUAGCAGGGCCAAAUUAGAAACAAAAAUUUAAAGGGAGCAGAAGUUCAAAUUUACUGAUUUCAGAGCUAAAAUUUUUAAUUAUUCAAGGGUGAGGCGGGGAAAAAAUAAUAUUUGCAAGGGCCGGGUCUCUUGCCAGCCACCCCUUACAUUUUUUUUUUUUUAUUUGAGGAAACCCCACUCCCCGGAAAACGUAUUUUGUGGGUGUAGGUGAGCGAGUAAAACUCCAGCUGUCCCAAAUUCUUACAAGAAGUGCAUGCCCUGACUCGAACUCGAAAACUGUUGUACAGAUCUCAAGCCCUUUGCCAUCAUGCUACGUCCCUUGAGAACACCCCUUACAUUCGCACCUGGCAGUGAAGCUAAUUGAGAGAAAUAGGGUUUGUAUAUAAAUAAAUUUAAUGUACCCAUGGUAAUUGGUUACAUACUAAAAUAUUUACAUAAUUGGUUACAUACUAAAAUAGGGUUUAUCAGUAUAUUUUCAAAAACUUUCUUGUAAAGAUACAGAAAGCCAAGGCUCUUACUUAAGUUCCCCUCUUCGGCCAUCCGCUUCUUCCUUCAAAUUCCCCGGUCUGAGAACAAGCCCUUCUAGCAAAGAUUGGGCAAGGCAAUGAAAGCUUUCAAGCUAACAAGCGAGUUAAUAGAUAAACUAAUGAAAGAAAAGAAUUGAAAAGACAGAAAGGAAAGAGUUUCUUGAAGCCCUCCUACCUUCCUCUGUGAUAUAGGGCUUACAUCUCUGGGAAGACAGAUCAUAUAAGGCCUUACCUCCGCUCCAGAAUCAUUUUUUAACUUCAGCUUUAGAGCCAGUCUGUUUUGCAAAUAUCCUCACCACUUAUUCCUCUCCUUCUUCCCUGAAUAAACAGUCUAUCCUGUUUGUAUUAAUUACUAAGCCCAAAAUCCAUUGUAGUGGUAAAUACGUGCGUUUAGAACAAAGGUCAUUAAGGUUUAUCAGCUUGGCCCAAAAAUAAAGAAUGGUGCGUGCUCUCGUAUAAUCCUUCCAUGUUUUCUUUUAUGACCUGAAAUUUGGAUUCAGACCCUUCCCCUGUAUUUUAGAUAAAUCUCGAACAGACGUAUUAUCAACUCAAUGCACUACUAAUUGAAAUGGAACUCGUGAGCUGAGCCGAUGAUGGCCUACAAAGGGAGGGAAUGGAAGGGGAUUCUUUUCCUAAUGUUGAACCCUGAAGGUAGGGCUUAAACCAAAUAUAUAUAUAUAUAUAUAUAUCCAUGCAAGUUCUUAUCACAUCCUCCAAUUGCACUUGUGCCACCUCUGCGGUUUAUCCAUGCUAUAUUUUCCAAAUUUAGUUAUCUAUGGGAUAAAAAAAACUUUUAAUUCUUAAAUACAGGUUAUCUUUAAGUUAAGAUUUUAUCAAACUUAAUUUUCAGUUUUUCAGAUUGUUAUCUAUUUUAUUAAGAAUUAUUUAACUAUGUAAUCAAGAAAUUUACGUCAUAAAGUUUUGAAAAAGAGUUUUUAAUAUAACCUAUGCAAAAUUAUGGCGCAUAAUGAUUAACAAAACACUUAAAAAUAUAUGAUUAAAGCAAAACACAAACCGCUGGUAUAAAAACAAACGAAGCCACACUCCUUAGGAAAGCUGGCAGCUAUGGUGUGUAUCUUCUCCAGUCCCAACCGCAUCUCCAAAUGAUAUGGUAACUAAUAGUUGACAAGAAAAUAUGUAUAUAUGGAUAUUGAUUUUUGGGUCCAGCUAACAGAAGCACGUUUGCGUAUGCUAACGUUCCUCUGGCGUUUGAUCUUGUUCGUAGACUUUGAAUACAAAGAGAGAGGAUUUCAAGGGAAUUACUAAUGAGCUUUCCUUUCUGGAGAGCUCACGGACUUGUAUGUAGUCUUCCUCUUGAAUGUUCUCGAGUCUUGACAACUAUAUUGGGUUGCUAGCAUUUUCAUGUUAGCCACGCUACAUUGUUUUGUUUACUGGUAUACUCUUCCAAACUGACAAUUGCAGCUGAUCAAAAUUUAUCCCAAUCAAAGAGAUUUCGCUGAUUCCUGCAGCAAUAUGUGCAGCUGAAGAUAAUUUUUACCAGUUGGUGAUCCUUUAAGAAUUGGGAUUUGAGGCUACUAACCAUUUCCUGCUGUGAUUUUGAUGAUUGUACCGCAUCCCCAGUUUCUACUUCGGAUUGAGCAUUUAGCAAGCCUGAAGCUUUCCAACGGUGAAAUUGUACCACCUAUUUACAAUUACAUAUAAUUUGACUGCAGCAAGACAAUGAGGCCAAACUCAUUAAAUUAGUUAUUGUGAGUAUGUGUUUGGCAUUAUGUUUUUAAAAGUGUUUUUUUUAAUACAUUAAAAUUAUUUUUUAAAAUUUUAUUAUUAUUCUUUAGAUUGACACAUCAAAAUUAUCAAAAAAAAAAAAAAACACUAAAAAGCAUUAGUUUGAUGUUUUUUCAUGCCAAAGACAUUUCAAAACGCACCUAGUUUCAAAAGCAAUACAAAACAGGCACUUAAGUUAAGAAGUGAUUGUAUUUGUGUACUCACUGAAUAUUGAUUGAGAUUAUCAUGUAUCAGGAGCAGUGAAAAUACAUGAAGUGCAUGCAAAAUGUUGACAAACUCCUGCUUAAACAACUCGUUUCCCCUUACUAAUUGCAGCGGCUCCAUUAGUAGUUCUGUGGAAUCUGAAAACAAACUUUUUCCUCGACAAGAACAAAUAUCAAACCCAUGCACAUGCAUUCUUGCGAAGCAUAUAUCAAAUCCUAACUGUUGAUGAGAUGCUAGAUCGGAAGAACACUAGUACAUAUUGCUGGAUGCCAGCAUGUGUGGCUUCAAUUCAAGCACAUUUAUUGACCUAUGUAAGCAUGUUUUUCGAUACAAGGGGAACGAGUUUCGCAUCCCCGCCAUGAGCACUAUCAUGGCUAAACCAGUGUAAGUGCAAGUCUCUCCCCUUCAGUUAUCUGUGAAAGAAAAUUGAUAAAUUAUAGUAGAAAACAAUGAAAAAAUUAUAAGUAGCUGAGACUUUACCUAGCAUAAAUUUGGUAGCAGAAGGGAAGAUUACAGAAAAACAAGAGCUCAUGAACGGUAAAUACAUAUUGGUCACAAAAUAAACUCUACAUGAAUCGACAUGCAGCGAGAUGCAGAGCUAAUAGCAUAUGCUGUUGGGAAAUGAUUCACAGAUGGAAGAAAUAACAGGAAUAGGAACCUAGAGUGUUCAACAAUGACCACCCACCACAGCACUUGAAUUGUUUGAAUUCAUCCCAAGCUCAACAUCCAAGCAAACAUAAAAAAAUAUCAGAACCAGAAGCAAAAAAAUAGAGCAGUGAAAGCAAGCACAGCCAGUAUGGACUCUGGACAGAACUGAUUCUGAAUUGACUUGGUUUUACAGAUAUUUGCAAAGAGGUCUUGGGUGUGAUUUUGGAGGAUCAUAUAUGAAUAAGGAAGAAGAAAUCAACAAAUACAACCGCAAUCUGUUCAAAAUCGACAUGACUUUAACCUGUAACAUUUCCACACUCACUUUUGAUAUUAUGAUUUAAGUUUACAAAGGAAACUGUAAUUUUCCAUUUUCACAUUGUUUGAUUCAUCUGUUCCACUAUCUUCUUCAAACUUGACAAGGAAAAAAAACUACAAGCAUAUUUCCAAGGAUUGACUACCAAGCAUGUAUAAGCAAAUGAGCAUUUGCUUUUUCUUCUCCAGAAUGACUAUAGAGAAAAAGGCUAUUGGCUCCACAAAAUGGCAGGUGACUGUUCACAGUAUUAGAAGAGUCGAACUUGAUAUGUAAACUUCAUAACCUUAAUCUAGGAAGCAGUUCAGCUUACUUCACAGCUUCUAUUCAAGCUGAUCAGAUCUUGGAUUUAUGACCCUAAGAAUGCAUCAACCUUGCUAUUUGUUCCCCUUGACAAAAACUUCAUGCAAAUGGGUGGUUUUACACCUGCUAGAGCAAGUAUUGAACUAGGCAAAGUCCAUAUCCCAUCUCCACAAAUCAAACCAGAAGCCACUGCUGGCCCAAAAGCAUCUGCCUUCACCUUGUCAAUCUUUUCCCAAAUAAAUAGAAUCAAGCUUCCCAGACACAUGUCGAUGGCAAAGUAUGAGCCAAUAUAGAAAGGUAUAGCCAUUGCCAUUGGAUUGGGAAUGAACCUAGCCCAUUUCUUACACAAUGCAUCCUUGAUCAAAUUUAUCAGAAUAGCUGCACCAAAGAAUCCAUAACAAAGAUAGAGGCAAUUCUUUGGUAGAGCCGAGAAGCCUUCUACCCCCAAUAUAGCCAUGUUUCGAUACACAGUAGCAUAAGGAGCAGGGUAUUGACUUCCAGUAGUCCCAAGAUCCUUGAAGGCCUUGAAAAAGAGCCAAAAGACGCUAGGGGAAAUUAUGCAACCCAUUGCAGUGCCAAUCAGUUGGCUCACAAACAUAGACCGUGGUGAGGACAAGGUUAGAUAACCAGUCUUGAAAUCUUGAGAGAGGUCAGAAGCCGUGGAGACUAUAUUCAUCAUGACUCCACAGGCAGCUAGACCUGCAAGAACUCCACCAUGUGAGGCACCAGCCCAUGCCCCAAUUACAAAAAUAGCAAGCUUCCCAUAGGUUGAUGCAAGGGACCAAUCAGUGAGGCCACAUCCAUAAGCAUUACAAAAUGCCAGGGUUGGGGCAAAGAUGUAGAUGACCAGUAUGUAAUACCAUUUGAGUUCAUGAAAAAUAUGUGGAAGUGUGGCGGUAGAGAUGGCAGCAAUCGCGACAUAGCCUGCAAUAGAAAACCAUGUUGGGAUUUGAUCUUUCAGAAAGAGUCGGGUUCGUUGUUGCUCAUCAUAGGAGAUCUUGGAGCUCUCGGGAGAGGAACGGUCAGCAAUAGGGAGAUUACUGGUUGCAUUUCUCACUCGAAGUUGAAAAAACAAGGCAGCAAGCGUUCGGCUUAGCACCUUGAAGAAGUUGUACAGACCAUCACCCAAGAUCAAGGCAAUGGCAAUAAAUACCUGGUCCAUCACAUAAAGUGUUGGUAUGUACAAAGCCUUCAAGAAGUAUGUUAAAACAUGCACUCUUGUCAUCUUAACCUUAUUAGACACUUACCUUGUAACCUUGGAGGCCAUGCAGGCUGGAUGCUUCGAGGUCUGCUGGAUACCAAUCACCCUUUUUUGUAUCUAUCAGAGGCCACAUGAGACCCCACGAAAGAAUUCCUCCAAGCAAUACUGAUACGUUUAUGAUGUAUGGGCAAAUCAUUCCAACUCCAACAUAUGUUGCUGAGAAAUCAAAGAAGAAUCUGUACAUAUAGCAAGAACAAUAUUAUUAAAAGAAACCACAACUAAUUUGAAACAAAGCGUCCUAAUAAAUGUAUCUACUUUCAAAAAGACAUGAAAAUUUUUGAAAAUAAUGCAUUUACUGGUUUUCAUAUGCUUUAAGCCCAAGUGAGGGAAAGCUAGCAAAUCCACAACCAUCUCCUGCAGUAUAGAACCAUUGAAAGACACCCCACAAGAAGCUGAAUGAGAAGAACUUGCCCAAGACCUUCACUUGUUUCCUGCAAUGGUAGAAAAAGAAAGUUGGAUACUUUCACAUGCCGGAUGAUCAUUUAACCAUAAGUGCAUUAGGUCUGACAGUGCCUUACUUUGCUAGCUUGGCUCCUGCAGGAGUGUGAAAGCUGUUGAUGAGAUGAGCAGUCGCAGUGCCACUUGGAUAUGUCAAUUUGAAGUCAACAAUCAUGACCUGGAAGCAACCCAGGUAACAAAGAAUAUUAGUUUUUGGCAAAAUUAAUAAAUUCAACAAAACAUAAAAUGCAGAGGAAAGUUUUAAAUUUCCUAUAAUCAUAUGACAAAGUUGAAUGGUAAUAUAUGUUGGAAAGUGUACCUUCCGGAGAGGCACCACUGAAAAGAGUCCAAGAAAGCUGACAACAAACAGAAAGCCAAUCAUCCAAGAAAGGGAUGGAUUUUUAAAGGCAUCAGUAUGUUCUGUUGAUUGUUUGGCCACAGCUUCACUCAUUCCAAACAGGUAGCUCCCAAAGCCUCCUAUUAAACGGAAACAGAAUACAAAUUAUUGAAUGAAAACCAUUACUUGUAUGAAAUUCAACAAGCUUAAAAUCAUCAUAAGCGUAAUCACAAAUUAGCUGUUUCAUUACAAAAGUUUCAGGUUCAAAACAAGUUUGGAACGCACGCAGCCAUGCUUAUAUUGAUUAUUAAGAUAACAAAUUAGAAAUAACAGCGUAUUCAUCUCCACAUAAAGUUGAUGAUUCUCAGUCAAUGAACAAGUUCAAUAGAGUAAAAUCUACACUAAAGGUUUAAUUAAUAAAGCUCAAGCUCACUACUAGCAUUCUAGAAAGAGAUCAAUUAUUCACAUUUUCUUUCUUUUUAUUACUAACGGAUUCUUUCUCCAUCUAAUACAACUUUGAACUUUGUAAGUCAUCCCAAUCCGGCUCAUAUAUAUUGAAUUGUAAACCAAAUAUCUUCUCUGGUGAGACUGUGGACCAAAAAGGUUGCGUGCCUUUACUGCCGGCCGCACUUUAUGCCUGGUGGAGCACUCGAAACCUAAGAAAAUAAUAAAAAGUAGACACCGCCCCCCCCCCCCCCCAUACGAAAUCACAAUACUCUCGAUUCUUUGAACCCAAGUUGAACAAACACACAGGUAAACAAGAGCAUGGAAUUUUCGGCUUCUGCCCCACUUAGGGACUGCACUUUAAAGUUUUUUACUCAACCAAAUAUUACGUGUUUAUAUAUUUUGAGUUGAGGUCAGACUGUGUCUCUCGAGGAGAAAUAACUUACUUCCUUACUCCGGUAAGAGGUUCNNNNNNNNNNNNNNNNNNNNNNNNNNNNNNNNNNNNNNNNNNNNNNNNNNNNNNNNNNNNNNNNNNNNNNNNNNNNNNNNNNNNNNNNNNNNNNNNNNNNAACGCUAUCAUCCUGUACGUUUACAGCCUGAUGGGUCGGGGGUACGAAAGUAGAUUUGUUCAUGUCUCUCAGCUAAAACAUCUCUUAAAAUUUAGUUUUUAGGUUGGGGGAAAAUCUCUUUAAAUUAAUGAAAGAAAAAAAAAUCACUAAAACAUCUCAUGAAAUCUUAAUUUUGAUGUGUCUCUCAGCUAGUUUAGGCAGUAAAAUAUUAUUAGGUUCAAGGAUCAUCUAAAUCUAAUCGUUUCUGAGAGAAAAAGGGAUCUGGAGAGAAAAAGGGCUGCCUUAUCAUGUAAUCUAGCAACUACAAAAAAGAUAUCUUGACAUUGUAUUUGAGUAACUAAUCACUUGAUCAAAGAAGCCUAGAUAUCUCAUCAACCCAAAAUGGAAAAUCUUGAAUUAAAAAUACUUAACAGGUGCAGAAAGUAUACCACUAAAGGCAAUGCCAGAGGAGGCAACCACACAAGUCUGGAUAACAGUGUUCUCUUGCCUGGUAAAGGGUUGCUUCAAAAGGCCAGACCUUUCAACAAACUUUGUCCAGGUCUUGAUGAAAAAGAACCCCAAAAGACCAGCAGAGACAUUGAGGGAAGGUAUGAUACCAGUUGUAAGAUUGAGCUUCAUAACUAUGAAGCUGAACAAAAUACUCAACACAAAGCUGACCACAAAGGCCCUCAAUGUCAGCUGAUUCCUCCAUGAAGGCACUUCUUGAUUCUCAAAUACCCUUUCCACUGACAACCCAUUUUCUUCCUCUUUCUUGUCCUCCUUUUUGCGAUCAUCAUCUCUUCCAUUGUGAUCCAUUUUCUUUUCUUGAAAAAAAAAUGAUACUUUGUUUUAGUGAAUCUUUACGAAGGCUGGAUAGAUGGGACUGUGCCAAGUAAGUCAAGGUGGUUGAGAUUAUUGCUCAACACACCAAGGACGUUAAUGAAGAGAUAUAGACACGUUAGGAAGUGUGCAAGCAACUGGGGAUGAUGACAGUGAUCCAAAAAAGACAACUUGUUUGACUCGUGUUGUCACCUUCACUUCACUUAUGGGUAAGAGCCUAAGAGGUCAACUUGCAACCCCUUUAUCGGUGCAAGGAGACUCAUCCAUUCUAAUGCUUUUUAAGUUCAACUUUUGUUUUUAAUUCUUUAAAAAAACUAUAUAUUUAUAUCUUAUUAGCGAUAUUUAUAAAUUUAUCUAAGUUUUUAUUAGCGAUAUAAAAUUUUCUUCAAAGUAAAUAUUAAAGUAGAAUUAUGAGAGUGGUUAAGCUUAAUUUGAACAAGUAGUCCAUCGAUUUAAAAUAUGAUUUUGAUUGAAUUUUAAAUUAAAUGUGAAAACUAAUUUAAUUAGAAAUUAUUUAGAAAUCGUGUUCCUUUUGAAAUUUUUUUUGUUUAAAAUAUUUUUAUGUUUUUAAAUUUUUUUGAUACAAUGAUAUCAAAAAUAAUUUUAAAAAAUUAUAAAAAAUAUUAUUUUAAUAUAUUUUUCAAUAAACAAACAAUUUAAAUCACAAUCACUAUAACAAUCUUAAACAUACCUUAUAAUUUAAAAAUCAUGUAAAUAAUCCUACAACUUGAUAGUCGCUAUCAAAACUUGAUAUUCUUUCAAAACAGUAUUAGUUUAACUUUAAAAAAAAUUAACCUACUCAGUUCAUAAUUCAGACUCGUACAAUUCAUAAUCUCAACUCUUACCGUCCAUAAUUCAGAACUUGAACUGCCGGCCAAGUUUGUUUGGUAUUGUGAUAGCUGUUGUGGUUAUGGUUUGAAAAAAUUUGUUUUUAUAAAAAGUACUUUUAGUUGAAGUUGGUUUAGAAAAAUAUAUGUUUGGUUAAAAUUAUGGUUGAAAUUCAGGUUGAACAAAAAGUAGUUUAAUAUGUUUGGUUGAAAUAAUGCUUUUCAAAUUGAGAUUAUAAAAUAAUUAAAAUAUAUAUAUAAAAAUAUUGAUGGUUUUUAAUUUAAAUAUUGUAGAUUUAACUACUACUAUUACAUCAUGAAAUAAAUAAUACUUUAUAUAAAAUAUUUUUUAUUAUUCCAUUAAAUUAUCUACAAUUCCAUUACGUACAAAAUUCAUCCGACAAGAACUACAGUUUCCAUGAAUUUUUUAGAGUGCAAUAAAAUUAGAUAAAAUAUUAUCAAGAAUAAAAUUGAGAUUACAAUACGAGUAAAUUUAAUUCACCCUAAAAUAGUAAAUUUUUUGAACGUGAAUAAUGCGAGUGAAAUCAAUUCACUGCACUAGUUUUUCGAGAGAGAAAAAAAAAUUGUUCACGUGAACAGUGUGAGUGAAUUAAAAUUCACUGCACUGGUUUUUAGAAAGAAAAAAAAAAUUGUUCACUUUAAUGAACAGUGCAACAGUGAAGCAUGACUCCACUGUUCAGUGAUUCCUCCCCCACGAGAAGCAGUAAAAUUGUGUUUCUACAAAACCUGUGGUACAGUCAUAUUUCUAGUGGGUCCUACCAAUAUAAAUCUGUGUUUUUUCUUUAACCAAACGGUAAUAUUUGUAGCUGCAGAUGAACCUCACCCGCAACCAUACUAACAAGCAGCCUGACUUUGCUGGAUAUGAGGUCAGCUAUCUCUGUAACCAUGAUGUCAACUUGCAAGUGUUGUUUCCAUUGGUAACACAAUAUUCCAUGUAUAUUCACGGUUGCUUUGCUUUGUUCUUGUAAUUAAAUAAACAAAGGUUUCAAAAAGAAUAUUAUUUUAGAUUUUUAAGUUUUUGGAAUCAUGCCAUUUAGCAUCUUAGAUUUUCUAUUACAAUGAUAUAAGGGGGAUGUUAAGAGUAUAAUAAUAGUUGUUUUUUAAAUUGUUUUUUGUUCGUAAAUAUAUUAAAAUAAUAUUUUUUUAUUUUAAAAAAAUUAUUUUACAUCAAUAUAUUAAAAUAUAUGAAAAUAUAAAAAAAUUUAAAAUUUCAUAAAAUAUCAUUUAGAAUGCAAUUCCAAACAGCGCCUAAAAAUACAUUUAUAAUGUUAUUCAAUGAUCUCAUUUUAUGUCUUGUGAUUUUAGCUCUGAUGAUAAUUAAUAGAUGAUAAAGUUUUUUCAUUGAUUUUUUGAAUUUAAAACCUCAUUUUAUAGACGUUGUUGUGACGUACCAUUGAUGUAGGGGGGGGGGGGGGGGGCUUAAAUUAUCCUAUAAUCUCCAUUAAUAAAUCUCCUAUAAUUAAUGACUGAGAGAUUCCUUAAUAAAUCUCCUAUAAUGACUGCGAGAUUCCCGGAUGUUCUGAUUCAGACCUUCCGAAAUCCGUGGGUCAAAUGCUCUCUUUGUCAUGGUGAAACAAUACAAAACCAUGAUUUCCAAGUUUUUAUUUCUUUAAAAAAUUGUCGAGCAAUAAAAUGUAACCAUUAAUCUCCCUAAUAUACAUAUAAGCAACCCAAUGGUUGGAUUGAUAAUAUAAAAACAAUGUCCUUACAUUAUGAUUAUUAGAACUCAUUUUUUUUUUACUUUUUAUAACUGAAUAAUUCACACCUUAAAACAAUUUUUUUAUAAAUGAUAAUUUUUCUAGUCUUGAUGAGGGAAAUAAACUUAAUGACAAAAGCUAAAUACAACACACUACUAGGAAAUUGACAAACAUGAAUGGAAAUAUUGAUUUAAUAUUUAUCAUUGAUAAAUUACAAUGACAUUUAUUAACAGACUAUUUUCUUGUUAUGUUCCUUAGCAUAUACCGAUAUAAAUGUUCUGCAAGUAUAUAUAGAGGGAAUUAUAAUUAGAAAUAAUGGAAUGAGGAAAAAUGAAAAAAAAAUGAUGUGUUAUUAUUAUUGAUGAUAUUACCGACACAAUAAACUCGUCGCUACUAUCCAUUGAUAGUUUUUAAGUUAUAACCUGGCAAAAAAUAGCAACCACCUAUCUUUUUAUUUUAUCACAAAUCAAGCUCUCAUCAUUACAAAUUCGACCACCCUAACACUCUGUCUAUCAAAAUCCCUAUUAUAUAUCAAAUUUUUUUUUAAGAUUUUCCAUAUUAAGUAAGCAAAACUAUCCUUUUUUUUUGUGUAAAUCAUUUUUAAAAUGUUAAAUUUUUUUAGCAUUUUGAUGUAAUAUAUGCAUUUUGUUUGUGUUUACUUGUUUUAUAGCUUUUCCCGUAAAAAUUUGUUGUAUAAAUGUAUAAUUUGUACAUGUUAGGGUUUGUAUUAGAUUUUAAAAAAUUAUAUUUGUUUGUAUUUGAUGAAAUUGAAUUCAAUUUUGUGAUUUAGAUGUUUUCUAAUGAAAUAAAUAAUAACUUAUUUAAUAGAUAUGUUUCAUAUUUUGUCAAUUUUAUUGUCAAGUUGAGAAUUUCAGUAAAUGUUGAGGAAUUUAAAUUCUUGUGUAAAACUAAUAAUGAUUUGAGAGUACUAUUAAAAUAGAUUGAAUAAGUUUAAGUUAAACCAAUGAUAUCUAAUUAGUUGAGUACCGAUAAUUUAUUUAGUUCACAUAAUUAAUUCAUACAUGUUGUCAUCAAUAUUCUAUAUAGGUUUCAUACAUGUAUGAUAAAUUAUUAUAAUGGGGUUGAGGGUUUUGUUAAUUACACAAUAUCUAAUCCAAAAAAUAUUAGUAGAUACAGUAUUAGAUUUCCAUGCAAGAUGUGUAAAAUUAAAAAAGUUUAUAUAUCCAUAUGUUGUUAUGAUGCAUCUUUUACAAAAAAAAAAAAAAAAGGUUCAUAGAAAAAUACUUGUGUUGGUUUGCACACAUAGAACUAUAUGUUCUUUAUGAGACCAUGGUAGAAAGAAUGAUUGGAUCACUUUCUAAUUCUAGCAACAUGCAUGAAGUUGUAGAUGAUAAUAGUAAUCAUUAUUAGAGUAUGGUUAUGGAUGCAAUUGAAAUGAACCAGGAUGAUGUAAGUGAAUGUUCAAUCGUAGAUGAAGAAUCAAAUGCAUAUGCAGACAUGUUUUUUUAUCUUUUGAAAGAUUUCAACGAACUAUUAUGGGUGGGUUCAUAAAUCACAAUAAAUUAUCGGUCGUUGCACAAGUGUUUACCAUCAAGUUAGAUCAAGGUGUGAGUAAGGCCAGUUACAACAGAAUUAUCGAAUGAGCGAGAAGCAUUUUACCUUAAGAAAAUAAGUUGGAAGAGAACUUUUAUAUUGCUAAAUCCAUGAUGAAACCUCUUGGUAUAGGAUACCAGAAAAAUUGAUAUGUGUCCAAAUUUCUACAUGUUAUACUACUUUAAAAAUACAGAUUUAAUUGAGUGCAUGAUGGGCAUGCUCGAUAUAAACCUAGAAUUGGUAGGGGAAGGACUCUUGUCGCACAUAGAAAACUUAGAUACUUCUCGAUCACUCUUACACUUCAAAGAUUAUUCAUGUCUCGACAAACUACUGAGCACAUGAUGUGGUAGAUAGAAUGAUGGUGCACUCUUUCGAUGGUGAAGCUUGAAAGCAUUUUAAUAAAAUACAUUCUUAGUUUUCAAUGAAACCACGAAACAUAAUCUUGGGUUACGUACAUAAGGAUUUAAUCCAUUUAGGUUAUUUGAUGCACCAUAUUCUUAUUGACUAGUAAUACUCACAAUUUAUAAUUUGUCAUAAAAAAAAUGACUUCUUUGUUGGUAGAGUAGAAAUGAAUGUUACUUCUCCAAUAUCGUUGAGUGAAGAAUUAUAUGACAUAACCUUGCAGUACAAGAGCACUAUCUCACUUUAUGCCGAUAUAUUUUAUUUAUAUAGAUUAUAAUAUCAAUUAAAAAUAAAUAGAAUAUAAUAAUAGAAUACCUCGAAAUUCUUUAAAUUUGUAAUUGCAACUCUAUUUUACGAAGUCUAGCAUUUUUUACAUCUAUAAAAAUUGUCCCAAUGUGUAGUCCAAUAACACUAUAUAUAUAUAUAUAUAUAUGAAACAAUAAACGUUCGUCAAGAUUAUUUAAUAAUAUAAUAUUAUUGUAUUCAUGCUAUUAAAAAUCUUAAUCUCUACAAAUAAUUUCAAAGUACUCUCAUUUAGAUAAAAUACUUCUUGGCAAUACUGGCAGCACAACUAACAAUCAAAAUAAAAGUUUUAUGGUCAUUGGCCUGCUCAAGAUUGCAAGAACUGAAGCAUAGAUUGCUGCCUUUUGUGGGGUCUUGUUGCAUAUCUGAUUUUCUUUAUUUACCAUGCCUUCGCUGCCAUCAGUUAAAAGACCGAGCUUGGUAAUGUGUUACAUAAUGAUUUUAAAAAAUAUUUUCUUUUAAUAUAUUAAAAUAUUUUUUAUUUUUAAAAUCAACAAAUUAAAACAAUUAAAAAUUUAGACAAAAUUGAGUUAAAUUUAUGUACAUUUCUCAUUAUAUUACCUCGUAAGUGUAUAUUGAAUAUUAUUUAUUUACUGAAUUGUUAAACUCACCUUCUUAUUAUUUAUUUUUUUAAGGCUUAUAACUCUGAUAACAAUUAUUUUUAUUGUACUUUCAGAAUUUAUUUUUAAUUGUAUUUUAAUAUAUUUUUUAUUAUCUCUACUUAAUGCUCUAUAUUUACUUAAAUUGUGUUAAUGACUAUUUAAAAAAAAUAUUUUAUAUUAUAAAAUUAAUUAUGAUAUCAGAAAUUACGUGGAAUUCUGGUUUGUUUAAAAGGUAAAAGUUUGUAUGCUUGGUUGAGUUUACACAUGCAAGGAAAUCUGGAGGAUUGGAUCCAGAUUGGGUGACGACAAAAUAUGUGUGCAAUCUUGUGGGUGUAUUUAAUUAUGAUGUGUGCAAUCAUGUGGGUGUAUUUAAUUAUUAUUUGUAUUCUUUCUAAAUCAAUCAUGCUAUUGUCAAAAGUUUUACAGAUCAUAUAUGAUGAUUUCGGCAUGCUGAAAACUGUAUUGACUAUUUUAAUAGGAAAACUUUGGAAUACAUGCAAUUUUCAAUUGCGUAGAUACGGGAAGGAAAGCAUAAUAAUGCUCUAUAUGGAAUAAAUAUUUGAAGUGCCUGCCUCUAGUAUUUUUUUUUAUUAUUAUUAGUGUGAGUGUCCGGAUCAGCUUGUAUAUAUCUUAAUUAAUUCCACAUAUCCUAAAAUUAAUGACCAUAUAAAUUUCUAGUAGCCUUGAGAUUUGUGAGAUUGAAACUAUAUAUAUAUAUAUAUAUAUAUAUAUAUGAAGCUUUUCAAGCUUCUACUACUAGUAUUAGAGGAGAAAAUACUUUUAAAUUCCAAAUUGUAUAUAUAUGGCCUAUACAUUUAGGACAAGUCAUGCUUGUGUAGGCUUGCUUCAUUCCACUCCAAGUGUGUUUUAUAUAUAUAUUAGAAUCGUUGCCAAGUUUUGGUUUUCAUAAAUAAGGAAGAGCCAAGCAAGGCCGAAAGAUAAUCUUGGCUAUUUUCCAAAGACGGAAGAGCCACAUCCAUCACUUUGAACAAAUUAAAACAAAGGAUUGUGGGAGGAGCAAUUUCUUAAACCCAAAUUAAAUGGAGUCUGUGGUCUCCAAGGACUUAAAUCUUGUUUAUUAAUUUGGUUAGCAUAUCACAUGAUGCAAGGAUUUUUUAUUAUUAUUAUUAUUAUCUCGGCAGUAAUUAUUACAUCUAAUCUAAUUUCUCGUUAAUAAAAAAUGAUAAGAAAAAUUUCAUAUAAAUUUAAAAAUAAUUUAUUUUUUUAAUUCCCUUUUUUUUUGCAUAGAAAAUGUAAAUUUUGAAUAGAAAAUAUUAUUUAAAUUAAAAAUAAAUUUGAAUAGAAAAAGUAAGGAAUUUGGAUCCCAAUUCAAAAAUACUAUUUAAUAUAAAAAUAAAUGAAAUGAAAUGAAUGGUGUAUUUGAGAUUGUGGUAGUGGUUGCAGUUUAAAGUAUUUUUGCUAUUAAAACAUUUUUUUUUCUUUCAAAAUAUUACAAUUUCAAUCAAGGGUGAAAUAAAAAAGAAAUUUAAAAUUUAUAAAAGGAAUCAAGAUGAAAUUCAUACAACAAAAACAUAUUAUGAGGCUUGAAUCAAAUAUUAAAAAAAAAUAAGAUGACAACAUGAAUUUUUUUUAUUGGAUAAUGUGUUUUUUGUGGUCAAAUGAGAAAAAAAAAAGAAAGAAAAAAAAGGUUAUUAAAGUCAAACUAUCGUACGCACUACUACACAAGCCAUUUAAUCCAGAUAGAGACAUCUUUGGCUUUCAAAUGUCGCUGUGAUUACAGAAUUUUCGUGUACAGAGCGGUUUUAAGCGCUGGUGUGUUGCGUACACACCAACAAAUAUUCUUUGAAAAACAUAAAUUAUUAUUUUUAAAAUUUAAAAUUGCCCAUGUUUUGACUCUAUAAUUACAAAAAUACCAUAAUUGAAAGACAAAUAAGCCUAAAAAUUUCUUAUUGAUUAUAAGGGUAACCAAUUAAAUUCAAUGUGCAUUUAUUAUUUUUUUAAUAUAAAGUUGCCCCUGUAUUGACCCAAAAUUACAAAAAGACCACGUUGAAAAGACGAAUAAGCAUUUAAAUCCAAGUUUAAAAAUUUCUGAUUUAAAUGGUAACCAAGAAAAUUGAUUGUGUAUUUUUAAACGAAAAGAUGAAUUCGUCCAUCCAUUAUAGGUCGAUUUAUUUUGAUUUUAAGGGUAUUCUAGCCAUUACACGGUGCAAUUAAAGAGUAAAAAAACUUCUUUGACCUCAAUAAAUAAUUGGUCCUUCUACAAUUACAAUGUUGUCCCAAAAGCUAAGCAAACAAGUUUUUUAAGAAAGAGUAAAAUAAUCAUUACUCUAUUCUGUUGAGUUUAGGUGCACAGUGAACUGCAAACUAUUCUGCCGUAUCUCUGCUGGCGAUGCCUUCUGUAGAUGCUAUUAUGUUGUUGCAAAUACAGCUGUUAUCGUGGGUUCAAUUCUUCAAAGCUGUUGUGUUUCUGGUUAAUGUUAAUAUAGUUUAAUUUGCACCAGUAUAUAUGCAAUAUCCUGGAUUUUACUCAAUCUGGUCAGGUUCUGAAGAGUUGCUAUAUUUGGUGUCAGGUUUGCUCAUUUUGCUAUGAUACUAGAGGGUCCAGUCUGCCUGUCUGGAACGGGUAUGUUGUUAUCAGUCUCAGAAUAAAACCAUAACUUUAGUUAUCUAACAGGGAAAAUAAGUAGAAAAAAAAAUUGACGAUAAAAGCUUCAGCGAUGAACCCUAUAGCAAUCUCCGUAGCUGAACAAAUAAGUUGAAGUGAUUGCUUGUACAAGCGUUGUCUUAUUUUUCUCUAGGUUUGUCCUAUGAAAAUGAGAAGAAGUAAAAAAAUAGACAAAUAUCGCCGUCUUCUUAACGGCAUCUAAGCCCCAGGGAGCAAAGACCAGAGGAGGUCAACAUCAUAAAUUAAUAGGUUGUCAUUUGGAUCAUACGUUCGGCCCCAUGCAAAUAUAUUCAUAGUUUAUCAUAGAAUCCUUAAUUUCACCUUGCUGUGAUUAUUACUUGUUUAACUUAUCUUCCGAUCUCGUAAUUUAAAAGGCAAGAUCCUGCGUUGUUCGUGUAGUGGAAAACAGAAGGCAUAGUCAUAGUGAUAAGAAAAAUGGAUCAAAAUGGAAGGGAAGAGAAAGUAGAGAAUGGUUUAGAUAUGGAAAUUGCAGAUGAUGAUAACAACAAAUACAAGAAACCAGAAGGAGAGGAAGAAGGAGAGGAAUCAGUGGAGAGGAUAUUUGCAAAACAAGAAGUGCCAUCAUGGAGAAAUCAGCUGACAUGGAGGGCCUUUGGGGUGAGCUUUAUACUGAGCGUAUUGUUCAGCUUUAUAGUGAUGAAGCUGAACCUCACAGCAGGAAUUAUUCCUUCCCUUAAUGUCUCUGCUGGCCUCUUGGGGUUUUUCUUUGUGAAGACAUGGACAAGGUUCCUGGAAAAUUGUGGCCUCUUGAAGCAACCAUUUACCAGACAAGAGAACACUGUCAUCCAGACAUGUGUUGUGGCCUCCUCUGGCAUCGCCUUUAGCGGUAACAAUUUUGAUGUUACUAUGAUGUACUAACAUUGAUUUGUAUGCUUUUAUCUUUCAUGUUAGAGCCUGAUCAUUCUAUUCUUUAAUAUACAAAUAGGAGGAUUUGGAAGUUACCUGUUCGGAAUGAGUGGACGCAUUGCCCAGGAAUCAGCUGAUCAACCUAGCGCGAAAGAUAUCAAAGAUCCAGCUUUGGGAUGGAUUAUUGGUUUUCUCUUUGUUGUUAGUUUUCUCGGUCUCUUCUCGGUGGUGCCUUUACGGAAGGUACUAACGCAACGAAGACUUAUCUUUCUUGAUCUGUAAUAUGAAUAUUGCACAAAUGUUUGAAACAAAUUGUUGGUUUGUCUUUCCAUUCUUGAUCUGCAAAUCUCGUAACCCAAUUGGUUUCAGAUAAUGGUCAUAGACUUCAAAUUAACAUAUCCGAGUGGAACUGCGACUGCUCAUCUUAUCAAUAGCUUCCACACCCCUGAAGGAGCCAAGCUAGCUAAGUAAGAGCACUGAGUACUGAGCUUGUAUUGCUUGGUUUUUGUGAAGAUGACAUGAAAAUUAGGACAUUUUAUCAUCUUGAUUUUGUCUGUUCUAUACUUUCGUAGGAAACAAGUAAGAGCUCUCGGAAAGUUCUUCUCCUUCAGCUUUUUAUGGGGUUUCUUCCAGUGGUUUUUCAAGGCUGAAGACAACUGUGGAUUUGCCAACUUCCCUACAUUUGGACUCAAAGCAUAUGACAACAUGUCAGUACAUUUCUUGAUUUCUUUUCUUAUUCUUCGUUUUGAAUUAAGAAACAUGUACUGGUCAUGAAAAAGUUGUCUUCAUUACCAAGGUACGUUGUGCUUCCAUAUACUUUCUUGAAUGCUUUGGCUAAUUCAUUGUCAUGGUCUUUUCUACAGGUUUUUCUUCGAUUUCUCAGCAACAUAUGUCGGAGUAGGAAUGAUUUGUCCAUACAUUAUUAAUGCAUCUGUCUUGCUUGGAGGAAUUCUUUCAUGGGGUCUAAUGUGGCCUCUGAUAGAAACUAGAAAGAAUGAUUGGUAUUCUGCAGAACUUAGCCCGAAAAGUUUACAUGGUCUUCAAGGUUACAAGGUAUGCACAUUUCUGAUAUCUUCUUGCUUCUUGAAAGCUUUCACCCUUCAUGGAAAUUACCGUAUGGCUUAAAUUCUGAUUUCAGGUAUUUAUAUCCAUUGCCAUGAUCCUGGGGGAUGGUCUGUACAACUUCUGCAAGGUACUAAGCCGAACCCUCAUUGGCUUAUAUAUUCAACUCCAAGGCAAAGACCCCAAAAUGGCUCUUCCAGUUGAUGGCAGUCCUCCUCCCAAGACCUUGACGGUCUCCUACGAUGACCAGCGUCGCACCCAACUAUUUCUAAAAGAUCAAAUUCCGACAUGGUUUGCUGUUGCAGGUUACGUUGUUAUUGCUGCCGUCUCUACAGCUACUCUUCCACACAUCUUUCCCCAACUGAAGUGGUACUACAUAUUGGUCAUCUAUGCUUGUGCACCAACUUUAGCAUUCUGCAAUGCUUACGGAUGUGGAUUAACGGAUUGGUCCCUCGCAUCCACAUAUGGAAAACUUGCCAUUUUCACAAUUGGGGCAUGGGCUGGAGCAGCACAUGGUGGAGUUUUAGCAGGAUUAGCAGCAUGUGGAGUCAUGAUGAACAUUGUCUCAACAGCCUCAGACCUGAUGCAAGAUUUCAAGACAGGCUAUCUAACCCUGGCUUCACCUAAAUCCAUGUUUGUCAGUCAAGUCAUCGGCACAGCAAUGGGUUGUGUAAUCUCUCCAUGCGUCUUUUGGCUCUUCUACAAGGCUUUUGAUGACCUCGGCCUUCCUGGCAGUCAAUAUCCAGCUCCCUAUGCUGUUGUGUACCGUAACAUGGCUAUAUUGGGGGUAGAGGGUUUCUCAAGUCUACCAAAGAAUUGCCUUAAGCUUUGUUACAUCUUCUUCUGUGGAGCUAUUCUCAUCAACAUAUUCAAGGAUGUAAUGGAGAGGAAAUGCAAGAAAUUUGCAAAGUUCAUUCCACUUCCAAUGGCAAUGGCGAUACCGUUCUAUAUCGGGCCAUAUUUUGCCAUUGAUAUGUGUGUUGGAAGCUUGAUUUUGUACGUUUGGGGAAGGAUAAACAAGGCUAAGGCAGAUGCUUUUGCACCAGCUGUAGCUUCUGGUUUAAUUUGUGGGGAUGGAAUAUGGACUUUGCCGAGCUCAAUACUUGCUCUUGCAGGGGUUAAAGCACCAAUUUGUAUGAGGUUCUUCUCUAGGGCAACCAGCACCAGGAUUGAUAACUUCAUAGGAUCCUAGUCAUAAGAGCCUCAUACAUGGACAUGCUUGUUGGUGCAUCAAUGGACAUUUAAAUAUCCUUCCAAGUAUUUAAUUCCUGCUUUCCCUCUUCCUCCCGUGUUGUAAAAUACUGAAGUGAUCUGUAAAUUAACAUUUCCCACCUUAUCAGUAACACCUCUGUUCAAUAUAUAUGUAUUCAUAUCCUUAAUUCUCAAUCCCCAACAUGGCUGCCUAAAUCGCACUAAAACGAGGAAGAAAAAAAAUUCAUUCAUUACAGCAAGGCAGCAACAAUGUUGAGUAGAUUUGUGGAGUUUAUUGAGGUUUCUUAAUAAAAUCUGUAAAAGGACAUUGACGAGGAAGAGGCAAUAUCAGCAGUUGUCUCAAGAGCCAACUAGCAAUAGUGAGUUAGUGACUAACGAUAGAACACAACAAAUUUAACUCAACCGAGCCCCAAUCACAGGGUCCUUGCCCUCAUUGCAAAUGACUAUAGUAUAAUUAAGGAAAUUGGCAAAUCAACAAAUGAGAAGUCCCUGGCUUUUGAAUCGUACAACAAAGAAAACCCCAUUCAUGAAAUUUGUUCCUGAAUUUGACUCAUCGUAUGGGCUCAGCAAAGCUGCAUACUGACUGAUUCUUCUUCUAAUAUUGAUUUGAACCUUAUGUUUGCCAGUUCCAAAGCCAUUAUCAGAAAUGGAUGAAUAAAUUUGCAUCUGGAACAGAACCAAGAAAUACUAUCCAGACAUAUUGCAUCAUGCCUUCCCUACAGACGAGAAUUUUGGAUGUUCAAAUGCCUAUAUGCAAGUUCAAGGUUUCCUGUGGUAUUUCCAUCCACUCAAGUUGAGUUACAAUCUCAGGCUUCCCAAUCUUCAUCACUUCCUUCAGUACCCUGAGAAAAUGUAUAGUACAACGAACUUAGGAAAACAAACCCUAUAAAUGCCGACAUAUACGAGAAUGCCCACUCACCAACAAGUGUCAAGGGAUAAUAUUGACAAUUUUGCUUCAAUUAACAAGAUUGCAGUAAUUGAAACAUCAAAUUUCUGCACAUUUUCAUGUCACAUAAAUUUGAACUCUGAAGUUUGCAAAACAAUAUAAAAGUACAUGAACUUGAUGGGAUGUCACCUGUGAUGAGCUUGAGAAUUCUUCAAUGUCAUCAUCUUCAACCUGCAUGGUUUUUGUAAUCAUUAGUCAACACAUCAAUAUACAAAGAAAAGGAAAAAAUUGAUCCUCAAACAGGAUCCAUGAACAGUGAGCUUUCUAAAUGAAGGCAUGGACUUCUAGAGUAUUAGCCAACAGGUUGAGGUUUGCCAAAAUUGAGAAGAAAAAAGUGAACAAAAAGGAAAACGAUCACACAGUGAAGUCCCAAAACAAUUCCACGUAAGUAACGUAAGUAAUGAUAAAGAUUCAUUCCAUUGUGAAAAAUAAUAAAACAUGGAUGCCAAUUUCAAAAAAACAAAAACAAAACAAAUGAUACUCUAGCACUUUUAGGACUGAGACUUCCUUUCAGCACAUGAAUACAUGCCUACUGGCUAUUUGUCAAAUUAAGAGAAGAGAGGCAUUUCCGAGAGUUGAGGAAUCUAAUCAUAAGGUUUUCAUCCUUGAAUGAACAGGAAAAAAAAACAGAAACAUUCUCUUGUUUUAUUCUACACAAAUCGAGGAAAUCAUUUUUAAAUAUAAAACAAUUCAUACCUCAUUCACUUUCUUCUUUGCCUUGGAUCCCGUCCCUUUGAUAACAUCAGAAUCAAUGGUUAGAUAAAUUUGCUGAAGCUGCCUAAUUAUUUAGGAAUAUCAACCUAGGCUAAGCAUACUAAGGUUUAGAAUGAAGAAUCACCAAGACGUCAACAUGGGUAAAAUAUUUUAAAUUGAGUAACCUUCAUUAUAGGCAGAGGACAUUUGUGCAUACAUGCACAUGUCUGCACGAGAAAACUCAUUGGUUUCUUUUAAAAAAAACAUAAUGCCGAAAAACUCACAGGGCUAAAAAUGUGUGCCUUUCCCAAGUAUUAUGAACGGUAACAUCUUUAGAUGCACUGAUCUAAGCACCAUACAAAAUGGACUAGGAAACUUCAAAAAAUAACACAGUAAAUCCUUUUUGAAAUAUGUUUUUUAAAACAAAAAUAAAAUCCUCAUCAAGACAACACCUGUAAUUGUAAAACUGUUAAACAAUCAGAGCAAGAGAGUAACCAGCUUUUUUCCCUUCAGUCACUGUUCCUCUUUUCCUAGGUGCUUCAACCUGCAACACGAAAUGCAUACAUUGCACAAGUUGAGUCCGAAUUGCUCCAUGACAAGCAGUUCUAACUAUGUAAGGAAAAGAAGAUCCAAAACUGAAAUUGGAGAAGAGAGUGAAGAAGAUCAGAAUUCAAAGCUAGCUCUCACCAGAUCAAUCUUCCUUUUCAAAUCAGUUUUCUGCAACUUCUGAUCAGAAACUGUGGAAUACCAAAAGUACAUAUCUUCUGAAUCUUCAACUUUCAAUAUUGCAUACUAAGAAAAGAAAACAGGAAAGGUAGAAACCUUUUGAUGAUGAGGAUUUCCUUGAAUUUCUCGGUGCCUCCUGGUCAUGGAAAGGAAUAAUUCUUGUUAAAAUUUUUUAACAGACUUAGUUUUAUUCAAAUUCAUCCUAGUAAUAAGAUAUUGUUAGCAGUGACGAAAAUUGUGGGGAAAGUGGACAUGAAUGAGAGAAUUUUGAUAUGAAAUAAGCAUACAAUUGGAUAAGGCUGGAUGGAGGGUUUAGCAGUCAUGACUCCCUCUGAACUAUUAGUCCCCUUAUAUUAUGCUAACGAUUGCUAGUAAUAGAUAAACACGAAGCUUAAAUUCAAACAAGAAAUCUUACACACAGAUUUGCAUGUAUGCAUAGUACCAUGCAUAAAUAGCAUACAUGUGCUACAUGUAUGCUCUACCCAUAAGAAGGCACACCCAGAAAUGAUAAAACUACUGCUGUUGCUUUAUAUAGACCUUAUUAAAAAGGGAUAAGUUUACCUAGAUAAGUGCAUUCAUACAACUCUAAACUCUAGCAUGUCGCACCUAUAUGGUUCUAUUCAGUGACUGCAGCAAAAUACUACAGAUUAUAGCCUCUCAACAAGUUCUGACUAGACAGCAUAUUUAGCUAUUAGCCUCAAAGUUGUCAAACCUAACCUUUUCCACCACUUUCUUCUUUUCCUGCACUUUCUUGAACAGCGUGGAUAUGGUUGACUGAACAAGUGAACCAUGACUAUUAUACAAGUUUUCCUUAGGUAUCGUCACUGAAGCAGCAGACUCAGAAAGCUUUUUAGAUUUGGUUAUAGAUGCUUGAAUUUGCUCAGAAAGAUGAUUCCCUUCUCUAGAACUUUCACUUUCAAUGUCAAGACCAGAGGACAUGUUAGUUUUCACCUGGGAAAUGGAAGACAGAUCAGGGAAUCAAAUGAUCAGUAAGGAAUGCUUCAAUAAGUAAAUGAAAAACCAAUAAAAAAAAUAUUUCCUAGGGCAGCAGCGGAAGCAAAGAAAUUAGACAAAAAUGUAAAACUGAAAGCUUGCAAUAGCAGAAGCAUAUGGAAUGCCAUGCUGACUGAUCAAAUUACAUGAAACUAUGAUAGUAUCAACCUUAUGAUUUCUUAAAAAAAUAUCAAGCAUUCAGCUUACUUUCUUUUCCUCCUCCUCCUCCUCCUCCUCCUCCACCCCCAAGGCAUCAGGACUUCUUUCAGCAGAAUCAUCUCCCGAGGAAACUUCAGUAAACCUGAUUCAGCAAUAGGCUGAAGAUGAAUUACACUACCAUAUUCCUAAAUGCAAGGUUAACUGGAGAUUUACUAAAAUAGAAACUUGAACAGCAGAUAACUAAGAAAUGGCAAACAAAUGUGUCACAGAAACUGCACCAAUUUAUCAUUAGGGAAAAUUGAUAUUGCUACUUAGGACAAUCAGUGACCGUUGCUAUACCGAACUCUGCAAGAUGAUUUUUAUUUUAUUUUUCCCUUCUAAAGAGGUAUUCAAGAUUAGCCUUUGUUUAACAAGAUCACAAAAAGGAAAAUGAAAUGGUAACCAUCAAUAAGAAUCCAGACAAUUGCUUAAUUAGAGAAACAGCAAGCGUACUCAAUAAUACAAACUCAGUAUUUAGAACAAUGAGAAAAUCCAGCAACUACCAUCAUCUUUACACAAUCUAAGCAGUGUAUGUAAGUAUGUAUUAAGCAAAAGCAAAGCCAUUACUUGAAUUUUUUCCCAGAAGUUCUUGCAGAUUGCCGAAUUGGUGUAGUUUCAUUCAAAUCUUUAAAAUCAUUGUUAUCAUCUGAUAAAUCAUCAUCAAGCUCAGUUUCAGGAGACUCUUCUUUUACAUAUUUGGUUCCACCACUCUUUUGAAGUACUUGCUUAUUGACAGAUCCUGCUCCUGCCCCACCUUUAAAAUCACAUUCAACACCUUUUCCCUGAAACCAACAAUCAAAUAAGAAAAAAUAGAUUACCAAGUAUAUCUUCCAUAACCCUUUCUUUCAAAAAUAUAACAAAAAAGAAAAAAAGGACAGACAUAAAUAAAAAGAAACAACCUCAAACAGUUCGUUGGGAAAAUCAAGUUUCAAUUCUUCCGGGUUCUCUUCUUUCGUUCCAAUCCACCAUGCCUCAGAAAAUAUAAUCUAGGCUCAUCACCAAAUGGACAAAUUACUUAUCACACUUACAAGACAAUGAGUAAAGUUUGCAAACAAACAACAGGUUAGCUAAGUUAAAAGAAGACAGAAAGAAACAUACCAUGUGAUCAAAAUAAUCCUCACACAUAACAUUCUUUCCACUCCUAGAGAAUUGCAAUGUCAAAUAUCUAUUCUUUGGAUGCAAAAUUGUCCCAAACAGCUUCAUCUGUCCCUGCAAAACAAAAACACAAACAAUAUGUUAUUCAUUCACAAACCCCAUUCCACCACCAACAAAAACCAAAAUCACAAUGACCCACAAAUGGAAGCACAAAAACAAACAAAACCCAGAAGUGUUUUUAAGAACCUGAGGAAAAUCGAGGUAAAGAACAGGGUUUUUAGAGGACAAGUCUUUGAGCUCGCCAAUCUUGCCACCUCCAUUAAUAGGUGCAAGAAGACCAGGAAAUGAAAACAAAAACCUGUUCUUUCUUUGAGAUUUCCUAAUAAUAUCUUUACCAUGGUGUUUUGCAACAGUUUUUGAUGGGUUCAAUGAAUAUGGAGCCUUGACUUGUGCGUCUGAUACUAUGUUGUUGGUUAUGGCAAGUUUUUUCAAUCUUUUUCUCUCUAACACAUCCGGGUUUUCUCUGUUAGAAUUGCUGGCUUCUGUCUUCUUGGAUUUCACCAUUUUUUUUCCCUUCUCUUUGACGAUGAAGAUCUCUGGGUUUCUCACAAAAGGGUUUCUUUUUCUUGCAUUUGGGAGGCGGGAAGCUGAGAAUUUUGCCUCCCUUUUCGGCUGCAAGCUGCUGGAGAUUGAGGGCUUUUGCUGGUGGCUUUUGUUCUGGGCUAAGGUAGGAUUUGAACAUUGAAGUCUGGCUUCAAAUUGGCCCAAAGCUCGAGAAAACAAUGGGAUUGGCUCAUGAGUCGUGAAUAAAUAUUUUGGUUUUAUUAAAAAAAUAAAUAAAUUUUCAACUGAUUGGAUGAAUUUUAUAAUAUAUUUUUUAAUCAGGUUCUCAUACAAUGUUAACACAAUUUUUUAGAAAACUCAAAAUAUAGAAGAUAUUAAAACGUGUAUAGAUAGAUAUAAAAUACAUUUAUAUUUAUAAUAGUUUUGGAAUGAAUUUUUAUAUUUUUUAAAAUAAAAAAGUACAAAAAAAAACAUGAUUUCUCUACCUCAAUUAUUUUUAUUUAUUUUAUCACUGAUACCGUAACUAAAAACUAUGUAAGAGAUGGUUAGAUUUUAAAAUUUAAGGAUUUAUAUUUAUGAGGUUUAGCAAAAACUUUUUCUCAUCGCCAUUGAAUUGAAAAUCUAUUUUUUGGAUAUGAAACUAUAUAUAGAAAUGGUUUAGAGUUGAAGUAGUUCUUCUAUUGUCUAUUUAACGCAUAUAUUUUUUAAUCAACUUGGCUUUUAGUGACAUGUAAUUGCCGAUUUGGCAUGAAAACAAAUAAGAGAAAAUUUGGAAAAAAACCAAGUAUGCUGAAAUGAAUUUUUAUAAAAUAAAAUAUAAAAUAAACUAGUUUUAUCAUCGGUGAUUUCGUUUGAGCUAUUUCAUUAAUAUUUAACAUUCCUACCAGGUUUGAAUUUCAUUGCUUCAAAUUAAUUUUUUUUAUUAUUAUAUAAUAAAAAAUAUAAAAAAUUUAAUUUAUUAUCAAUUCAAUAUUAAAAAAUAAAAUUUAAUAAAAACCUCACAUUAAAUAAUAGAAUUAAAAAAAAAUUAAAGCUUGAAAAAUUCUUAUCUAACUCUUUAACUAAUAUUUAGUCAAUCAGCUAAACAUGCACCUUAAAUUAUGAAUUUUAUCAGGUCGAAUUAAUUUUUUUAUUAUUAUAUAUUAAAAAUUAUGAAAAUUAAUUUACUAUCAACCAUAUACUAAUUAGGAAUAAAAUUUCAUAAAAACCACAAAUUAAAUAAUAAAAUUUUAAAAAAAUAUCCUAAAAAUAAAAGAAAGAGGAGCAAUAAGACAAAUAAAAAAGAUAAACUAAUCUAAAAUAGUUAGGCGCGCAUGCCUACCCAUGUAUUUCAUCCCUUUUGUUCUUAAAAAAAAAAAACGACUACAUGAAACUUAUAUCCAAAUGAUUAAAAAAAAAUCUAUUAAUUUUAUCAACUUUUUAGGAAAAAAAUAAUUUAUGACGCCUCAAAGUCUUAAACCCGGACCUCACAUUAUUUUUGUGAGUUUGCUGAGCUACGACAUAAAACUUGUAACCAAAGAAUUUAAAAACUAUUUCAUUCGGUUUUGUUAUUUUAAUGAUUAGAGGAAUAUUUAACCAUAGAUAUGCAAUGUGAAAUAUUGUUCUUCGGGUAAGCAAAUGUCCCAAAAACUAAGUAGAAGCUCAAUAGAGGCUUUAGCUCAUUUAUUAAUUAAUACGCCGAGUUUAGAUAUGAAAAAGGAAAUUGAAGGCAAGUCAGGUCCAAACCUAGUAUAUCAAAAACUUUUUUAUUUUUUUUUUAAAUGUAAGGCUUUAGAAUCCACCCUUAUUCUAAUCCGUAUGCCUAGUAUUUCACUUGUGAGAGUGUAAGAUUUCAAGCUUUAAAGAAAAAGAAAGGCUUGAUAGAAACAUAUAACCUAAUAUUGUCCCGAGGUAAAUUAUUACAAUGCAAACUUUGGCGUCCACCUCUGUAAUGCUCAUCUUAUUCUGAUCUGAAGAAGGGAGGGAGAGCGACGGAGGAGGCGGCAGUUCUAUACCCACCACCACCUAUAGGCCAUUUAAUAUAUGGUAGAGAAAUUAUCUAGAUGGUGGUCCAGUGGUAAGAACUUGGGAUCAAGAAGUUUGCUCUCUCUGUGGUCUCAGGUUCGAGCCCUGUGGUUGCUCAUAUGAUGGCCACUGGAGGCUUACAUGAUCGUUAACUUCAGGGCCCGUGGGAUUAAUCGAGGUGCGCGCAAGCUGGCCCGGACACCCACGUUAAACUAAAAAAAAUAUAUAGUAGAGAUAGCUCUUUCUCACCCACCAACCAUUGUAUAAUGAAUUUUUAUUCAAAAUGAUGGCCAACAAACAGGAAUGCAAUGUCUUGCCAACCCCAACCGACCCUUUUCAGCACAAAAGCUUUCGUUAUGUUCCUCAGCAACAGCCUAGAAGUGAGGUAGCCCACCAUGCCAGUGCAGGAGAUCAUGAAUUGAAGUGAUCUGUUUCAUGGAAGAAGGCCUUUAAAUACUAUAACUGAGUUGGCUAUUAUUAAUGCACUGGCUUUAAACCUUUAUCUCAUUGAUCAUGCCACCAAACAUAUGAUAUAGUUGACUAAAAGUGACUUAAUUUGAGAUGUUUUCAGAGAUUCUUAAUUUCUGUUUUGCCCAAUCCUCCUCAUAACCUCGCCAUUAGAUGAUUCCUCUACGUCCAUUUCCCUGCAAUGGCGUGCAAAAACAGUGCGGUUUCGGGUGUGUUUAGAAGUAUGGUUAUUGUUGCUUUUUAAAGUGUUUUUCAUUUAGAAAUGCAUCAAAAUAAUAUUUUUUUAUUUUAAAAAAAUUAUUUUUGAUAUAAGCGCAUCAAAACGAUUUAAAAAUACUAAAAAAAUAUUAAUUUUAAGCAAAAAAAAUUAAAAUUUUUAGAAAUACAGGUUAGACCGCAUUCCCAAACGAUACUUUCAUUUAGCUAUGCACACAGUUUACACCGUGUAGCCAAAUGAGUUCUAGAAAGAGUUCUACUAUACCAUAACUGAUAUUUUUGUUUUAUUCAUGGAGCAAUGUUGCUAUGCAAAACAACACCAUAACAAGUGACAAUUACAUGUAAAAUAAGAAAAUCGAAGUACCAACAGCAUCGUAGAUGAUCAACAUGACAGAGUCCUAAACUAGACCAAGUAAAUUUCAUGCUUAGUUCCAUGACUCAACAAGCUUGGACAGUGCCACAUGAGAAGAACCACCUUCAAUCAUUGCAGCCUUGGCUGCAUUUUUCAUAGUAAGUGCUCUCUCCUUAAUCAAUAUACCUUCAUCAGACACCAUCAAUCCUCUAAGAUUCUUCUCCACCUCAUCAGCACUUACAAAUCCAUCUUCAGACUCGUUCAUUGACAAAGCAAGCUUCAUUUCCUCCACUAGCACUGCCCUAUUCAGCGUUUGCUCUGCAUACAAUGGCCAAGCCACCAAUGGCACACCAGCACACACUGCUUCAAGUGUAGAGUGUGGUAGAGAAUUAUGCAGGCUACAAAGUUUUGUAAGGUAAGGCAAGAGCGUUUGUUAUUUAUUUAUUAAAAAAUGUACCAACAAUGUACUUGGUGAUAAUAUUGAUCAAUCAAGGAAGCACAAGUAACACGACAUUGACAAAUAAUAAUAAUAACAAUAAUAAUAGAUUACAUUGGUUGAAAUAGGGUAGAACAUAAAAAUCUAAUGUCAUGAAGAGAAAGCUUUAUUACAAUUUACUUAUUUAAAAAAUUUACAAUAUCUUAAAUAAAUUUAAAAACCAACUUAAACAAAUUAGAAAAUCGAAAAAAUUAAAAAAAAACAUAAAAAUUAUAAAUAAACUAAGAAAAAUAAAAUUAUCAAUAUUUUCUAAACUAAAUAGAAAAAAAUAAAAUUAUAAAAGAAACAAAUUAUCCUAAAUAAAAUAAAAUAAUAAUAAUUAUCAAAAAAGUUUUUUUAAUAAUAGUAAUAAAAUGUAACAAAGAAACGUGCAAGCAUAACAUUGUCGAACUCCAUGCCAUAAAUGUUCAAUGAUGAAAGCUGUGUAUGAUUCUUCAGAUUCUGUAUCUUGACAGAAAUUAUAUACAAAGUUAGAUAUAUUAACAAUUAUCGUAGCAAACUUACUAAGGAAUCAUUUUUUUUUAUCAAAUAUAAAAAAUUAUAUGAAUCUAAAGUGAAAUAAAAUUGAAAAUCAGCAAGUUAAAAUUGUUAACAUGUAAUUAGCCGAAUAAGAGGGUAGUUUUCCAUAUAUAAAAGACAUACUCUAUAGGAGUCCUGAAAGGAUAUACAUUGUUGUAUUCCUUCCAGAAUAGAAAAGAUGUAACCGACAUAUAUAUUUGCCUAUAUAAGGCAUCCCUCCACAGGAGAAGAAUAAUAUGCAGAGUAUACAUCCAACCCUAAGCCUUAAAAGUAAACAUGGUAUCAGAGCAAGGUUGAAAGCUAAAAUCUUCCUUUAACUUUUCAGCUGUCACAUUAAUCUUCACCUGGGAAUUGGUCUUGAAACAAAGGACCAACCAUGGAUGACACAAAUACUUCUAUUAUCCCCAUAAACCAGACAUCAAUCUCUACUGAAACACCUAACCUAAACACCUUACCCUUUGGAUUUAAAUUGAAUGAGACAAACUUCAAAAUCUGGUCACGUAUGCUUGAACUGCACGCUGCUGGAUUGAACAAACUUGGCUACUUAACUGGGCAGAAUGCUAGAGUGGAAGAAGGAAAUUGUGGUUACUCAAAGUGGUGCACUGAAGAUGCAGUGGUACGAGGAUGGUUGUUGAAAACCAUGGAGCCUCAUCUUAUUGGUUUAUUUAUAGACCUGUCAUCAGCUAAGGAAAUCUGGGAUAGUGUCACUCAAACCUUCUAUGAUGGGGUUGACGAGUCGCAAUUCUAUGAGCUACGCUGCAAAGCCACAAGGACGAAACAGAAUGGGCAUCCAGUUAACUUGUAUUACGCAGAGCUGAAUAGUGUAUGGCAGGAAAUUGAUAAGCGACGACCAAUUAAGAUGAUAUGUGCUGCAGAUCUUAGAACCAGACAAGAAGAAAUUCAAAAGGACCGAAUCUAUGACUUUAUCGCAGGUUUGGAUGAAGUUUUUGAUUCAAUACGUAGUGAUCUCCUUCGUAAAAUAUCUAUUCCAAGUAUUGAAGAGUGCUUCAAUACAAUUCAACGGGAGGCUCAGCGAUAAGUCACCAUGCUAGGAGCAAAGAACACUGGUGAAGGAUCAUCAAUUGCAAUGAUUUCCAAAUCCACCACCCCUUCUAACUUGCGCACUCUUCGAGCUAUUGAGGAAGCAAAAAAAGAUAAGUUGCGCUGCUGCCAUUGUAAUGGAAGUCGCCAUACCAGAGACACUUGUUUUGAGAUUCAUGGCUACCCUGACUGGAUUCUAGAAAAAUGGAAGCAAAGUAAAGCAAGAAGCAAUAAACGUCCAGUCCAAGCAAAAUUAACCACUGCAACUGAAAUUCCUUCCAGUUUUGCUGCCAUGGCAAUAAGCCAAAAAGACCACACUAAACCGGGUGAAUUACUCUCCUUAGCGAAAACUGACCAGGCUUCAGCGACAGGUAAAACUGGAGUGGUUUUAUCGACAUCCAUGGUUCAUGAUACAGGUUGGAUCAUUGAUUCGGGUGCCACAGAUCAUAUGACUUAUAACAAAUCAUUAUUUUAAUACAUGACUCCCCUAUCUAAGGAAAAAGUCAUGACAGCCAAUGGGGAGUCUACCCCAGUCAUUGGAGCAGGAUCAAUUGUUCUCACUCCUAAUCUUUCACUACAUAAUUGUUUACUUGUCCCUGCACUUUCAAAUCAUUUAUUGUUUGUUAGUCAAAUUACAGAAGAAUUGGACUGUGUGGUAUUAAUGUUUCCCACGUUUUGCUUACUUUAGGAUAUCCGGACUCAAGUGAUCAUUGGACGUGGUACUAAGAGGAAGGGGUUAUACUAUGUAGAUGACGUUGCUUCAGGUCAUGUCCAUCAAGUUCAGAGUCACAAUGGUAAUAAUCACAAGAAAAUUUGGUUAUGGCAUCGUCGGCUGGGUCAUGCAUCCUUUAGCUACUUAAAAAAGUUAUUUCCUUCCCUCUUUGAUGACAUUCUGGAUCCAAGUUCUUCUCUUAAGUGUAAUGUUUGCAUCUUGGCCAAGAGCCAUCGAACUUCAUAUCCUGUAAACUUGAAUAAAAGAAUAAAGCCUUUUGAAUUGAUUCACUCUGAUGUUUGGGGACCUGCUCCAAUUACUUCCCAAUCUGGAAUUCGAUGGUUUAUUAUAUUUGUCGAUGAUUGCACCAGAAUGACUUGGUUAUAUACUAUGCGACACAAGAGUGAUGUGCGUAAUAUAUUCCUAAUUUUUUAUUGCAUAGUGUGCACUCAGUUCUCCCUGUCGAUGAAGAUUAUUCGAUCAGACAAUGGUGGAGAAUAUCUUAACUCUGAACUCUUGAGUUUCUUUCAAAACAAUGGUAUUCUCCAUGAGACUACUUGCCCGCACACUCUACAACAAAAUGGUGUGGCAGAACGUAAAAACAGGCAUAUUCUUGAAACUACUAGAGCUCUUCUCAUUAGUGCCCAUGUCCCUCAACAUUAUUGGAUUGAUGCAGUAACCUAUGAUGUGUAUCUCAUCAACCGAAUGCCAUCCUAAGUCCUCUCCUUCAACACUCCCUUGCAGACUCUCACUCAACACAUUCAGAUUCCAUCCCUCCUACACUUAGAACCCCGUGUGUUUGGAUGUGUAGCUUAUGUCCACCUGCAGAAAACUCAGCGCACAAAACUGGAACCAUGCGCAGUACGAUGUGUCUUUCUUGGUUUCAAUCCUCACCAAAAGGGAUACCGGUGCUACCAUCCUUCUUCUCGUCAGAUGCAUGUUAGUAUGGAUGUUACCUUCUCUGAAACAAAAUAUUUUUUCCACAUGAAUCCAUCCAGCUCUAGUCCUCAGGGGGAGCUGCAAUAUGAUGCCUACAACUGGAUUGAUCUUCAGUCUGAUUCAGGGGAAGGAAACACGGAUUCAGGGAAAGGAAAUAUAGAGCAGCAGCAGUCAGCUUUAGGGGAAGAAAUGGAAACCACUACACGCACAAUUAGUAAUGCUGGGGAAGGAAAUACAGAGCCCAGCUCCAGAACAUGUGCAACGGGCGGUGCAGGGAAAGAAGACAUAGAGUACAAUGCAAACAACAACAGUGAUGCAAAAGAAGAAUACAUGCAUGAUGAAAUAACCCCUUCCUCUCCGCAAAUCCAUAUUCAAGAUCGACCAGAUAUCCAUGAGGUAAGUGACACUGAAAGCCCUUCCUCUUUCCUUUUAUUAUUUGCCUCAUGCUACUCUCUCCCUCCUAGACAGAACCGUGGGAAGGCCCCUAACCGGUACUCAUCGAAUGGCAAAGCAAAAUAUGCAAUCACAUAGUAUGUCUCUACACACAAACUACCACCACAGCAUCAAGCCUUCAUAAGUGAGAUGACGAAUAUAAGAAUACCUACAAAGGUUGAGGAUGCCUUACAACACCCGAAAUGGGUAGAAGAAAUGGAGGCUGAAAUGAGUGCAUUACAAAGAAAUGACACAUGGAGUAUUGUAUCACUCCCUCCAGGAAAAAAACCAGUGGGCUGCAAGUGGAUAUUCAACCUCAAACAUAGAGCAGACGGCACAAUUGAUCGGUUCAAGGCAAGGCUAGUAGCAAAAGGGUACACACAGUCAUUCAACAUUGACUAUCAAGAAACUUUUGCUCCAGUUGCAAAAAUGAACACCAUCAGAGUCUUGUUGUCUUUAGCAGCAAAUUUUAGUUGGCCUUUGAAGCAAUUUGAUGUGAAGAACACAUUUCUUUAUGGGGAUCUGGAAGAAGAAGUCUAUAUGCAGCUUCCACCUGGGUUUAACAGUUCACAAUCAAGUGGAAAAGUGUGUAGAUUACGGAAAGCAUUGUAUGGCUUGAAGCAAUCGCCAAAAGCAUGGUUUGGAAGAUUCACAGAAGCUAUGAAACGAAUUGGUUAUCACCAAGGUAACUCUGAUCACACUCUAUUCAUCAAACAGAAGAAUGGUAAAGUUAUACUGCUCAUUAUUUAUGUAGACGAUAUGAUCGUAACUAGUGAUGACACAAAUGAAAUAAAAAAGUUACAAGAAUGUUUGUCUACCGAAUUCGAAAUGAAAGAUUUAGGAGGACUGAAAUAUUUUUUGGGAAUUGAAGUUGCAAGAACUAAAGAUGGUAUAUACUUGUCACAACAAAAGUAUAUACUGGACCUAUUAUCUGAAACAGGUAUGCUAGAAUGCAAACCAGUAGAGUCUCCUAUUGUUCAAAAUCAUCGAUUGGCCAUUCACCUAGAUCAGGUACCAACAAACAAAGAAAGAUACCAGCGAUUGGUAGGGCGGUUAAUUUAUUUAUCUCACACUCGCCCAGACAUUGCCUAUGCGGUUAGUGUGGUAAGUCAGUUUAUGCAUGCUCCAAGUGAAGAUCAUAUGACAGCUAUAAUGAGAAUUCUGAGUUAUCUAAAAGGGGCUCCAGGAAAAGGACUGACAUUUAAAAGACAUGGAAAUAUGGAAGUGAAAGGAUUUACUAAUGCAGAUUGGGCAGGGAAUCUCACUGACCAGAGAUCCACCUCUAGCUAUUUUACAUUUGUUGCAGGAAAUCUUGUCACAUGGCGAAGUAAAAAACAAAAUGUGACAUCAAGGUCCUCAGCAGAAGCAGAAUAUAAAGGGAUGGUACAUGGAAUAUGCGAACUGUUAUGGCUCAGGACCUUACUCACAUAAAUAGGUUUUGAACCCAAUGACCCUAUGUUACUAUAGUGUGACAAUCAGGCAGCACGAGAGAUAGCUAAUAAUCCAGUACAACAUGAUCGAACUAAACACAUUGAGGUAGAUCGACACUUCAUCAAGGAAAAGUUACUUCUAAAGUUAGUGGACAUCCCUUUCGUCAGAUCAAGUGAGCAACUAGCAAAUAUUCUAACCCAUGCAGUCCCUGCGGAAGCUCUUCAUAAGUCUCUAGACAAGUUAGGCUUAGAAGAUAUCUUCGCACCAAGGGGAAGUGUUAACAUGUAAUUAGCCGAAUAAGAGGGUAGUUUUCCAUAUAUAAAAGACAUACUCUAUAGGAGUCCUGAAAGGAUAUACAUUGCUGUAUUUCUUCUAGAACAGGAAAGAUGUAACCGACAUAUAUAUUUGCCUAUAUAAGGCAUCCCUCCAUUGGAGAAGAAUAAUAUGCAGAGUAUACAUCCAACCCUAAGCCUUAAAAGUAAACAAAAAUAUACAAGUACAAGUGAACAAAAAGAACAAACUCUCUUGAACAAGCGAAUAUAACCAAAGAAAAGAAACAAAUUCCCUUGAACAAGCAAAUACAACACAAAAAACAAACUCUCUUAAACAAGCGAACACAACUUAAAAUAGCUGUGUAUGAUUCUUUAGAUUUUAUAUCUUGAUAGAAAUUAUAUAAAAAGUUAGAUAUAUAAUUAAUUAUCGUAACAAACUUACUAAGUAAUCAUUUUCAUAUGAUUUGUUGUUGUCGGAUUUUAGUAAGGAUACAUAUCUCUUUUUGUCUUUGAUAAAAAAGAGAAGUUAAAAGUAAAGUAUUCUUUAAAAAAAAUAGAAAGAAGAAUUGACACAGACUAUGGAAAAAAAAACAUAAAUGUCAAUUGAGCUAAAUGCUAUGCUGGCUGCUUAACUAAAUUGCUCCAUUUGUCAUGUUUUUCUUGUCAAUAAUUCUUAUAUUAGAGACCCUUUUUGCAAUAAAUAAAAGAUUUUAUAAGUAAAGAAAAUUUAUUAUAUGAUUUGUCAUGUAAUUUUGAAUUUUUUUUCUUACCAUUACUAGAAAUGACGUCACACACCUCAUAUUUAUAUUGGCCUGGAUCGUUUUUAAUAAUAUAUAAACAAUGAUUAAAAAUUAUUUUAUAAAUUAUGCAAAUAACGACGAUACAUCGACCCAAUUCAUUUGUCUUUCCAUGACUCAACAAGUUUAGACAAAGCCACCCGAGAAGAACCACCCUCGUUCAAUGCAGCCUUUGCUGCAAUUUUCAUGGCUGUGGUUCGCUCCCUAAUCAACUUACCUUCCUCCGACUCCAUCAACCCUAGAACUCGCUCCUCCACCUCGGCCGAACUCACAAAUCCGUUGUCAGAUUCAUUCAUCGGCAAUGCAAGUUUCAUUUCCUCCACCAAGAAGAUCCUAUUGACCCUCUGCUCUGCGUAUAGUGGCCAAGCCACCAAUGGCACACCUGCGCAAACUGCUUCCAGCACCGAGUUCCAUCCACAAUGACUUACGAAACCGCCUACCGAUGGAUGGUUCAGCACUGCUACUUGCGGAGCCCACGACUUCAGCACGAGUCCCCUAUCCUUGGUUCGAUCCAAGAAACCUUCAGGGAGCAAUGAGUCUAAAUCAAUGUUUGGAUGUGCCGAUAGUGCCACGCUUUUUUUAUCAGAAGGUGGAUUCCGAACCACCCACAAGAACCUGUGGCCACUUCUCUCCAACCCGAAAGCUAUUUCUCUUAACUGUUCCUUGGAGAACAGCCCCAAACUACCAAAACAUAGAAAAACAACACUUCCAACUGGUUGCGAGUCCAGCCAUGUUAGACACUCCAGCGUAGUACCAUUGCGAGUGCCUGCAUCAUCUUUAGGACCUUCAGUGGCUAUCAAUGGUCCGAUACAGUAAAUUGGCGGUGUGCGAUUAUUGGGUACACAUAAUCCCUCGGAUGUUGUUUUCACAGCUCUGAAUUCAAGUGAUGCAAAAGUGUUUACAAAAAUACCUGCCGAUUCGGGAAAGCUGCUUGAGGAAUCUAAAAAGUAUUUAUAGGCCUUAUCGUCGCGAUGAAGUACCGGUAUUGGCAUGUCAGACGAUGGAAUUGGUGGAACACCGGGAAUAUGGAGAAGGGACUUUAGAUCUUUAAGACUUUUUGUGGUGGUGUUAUGAAUGGUUGGGAAAUAAAGGAAAACAGCGAGAACACCAGCACCAGAAGUGAAGAAGUGGUAGCCAGGGAUAUUGAGUUCCUUGGCAACAGAGAGAGCAGCACAGCAAAAGAAGUCCACGACAAGUCCAUGAAUGGUGUGGUUUUUGGAAAUGGACAAUAGUUGUUCACGAACGUGAGGAUUGCUGAGGCGAAGGACCUCAAAAGUGAGUUCUUCAUAAUGGGUGGUUUUUGUAGAAGGGAGGGUUACAGUAGGAAGAUGGUGGAAUUUGAUCGAGGGAAUGGUGGCAGCAACGUUGGCAAUGUAAGGGGCAGUGGAGCCAGAAUCAUAGGGCACAGAAGUGAUGAGUAUGUGAAUAGAAAGGGAAGGUUUUUGGGUCAAUAAGAGUUUCCCUAGCUCCACCAUAGAUAUCAAAUGGCCAAUAGGUGGUGAUGGGUACAGAACUAUGGCCUCCUCCAUGGCUGCUCGUACCCUUUCCUAUACCUCUGUGUUCUUGGAGUGACAGAAAGAGAGAGAGCAAGUAAUCUGUGUGGAGCAGUUUCAAAAAGAAAGGAAUAAGGUCACAAACAGCAUCUGAGCAUGAAAUAGGGUCAGAUACAUGUUGUUCCACCAAAGUUUUCAAUGAUUUGUUCAUAUACCUACUAGAUAAUCGUUCUCAAAGUCUUUCAUCUUGGUGAACACGUGCUCUGCCAGAACAAUAAAAUCGUAGCAACCUACCAGUCAAACCUAAAAUUCUUAUAGCGGGUGAAAAUCCAGGAUACUGAAAAUAAUAAUUUAAGCAAAAUAUAGUAGGACGUCAGAAUCCAUGUGUUUUAGUACGCAAGAUACAUCUUCUAAAUUUUCAAGGCAAAAGAAGACACACUACUAAAAAAUAUAGGAAUUAGCAACUAACUUCUCCGUUGCAAUUAAUACUUAAAUCCGUUGCUAAAAUAAUUUAGCAACGAAAUCAGCAACAGCAAAUCUCGAAUGCAGAUUUAUCGUUGCUGAUUUUUUAGCAACGGAUUUAUCCGUUGCUGAUUUGACAGCAACGGAAAUUCCGUUGCUUACAAUCAGCAAUGGAUAAUCCGUUGCAUAUAUUAGCAACGGAUUUUCCGUUGCUGAUUGUAAGCAACGGAAAAUCCGUUGCUAAUUUUGUGAAUCAGCAACGGAUUGUCCGUUGCUGAUUGAUGAAUUAUUCACAAUCAGCAACGGAGAAUCCGUUGCUGAGUUCUCCGUUGCUGAGUAUAUUAAUUUUAUUAAAUUAAUUUUUUUUAUUUAUUAAAAUAACUUUUAAUUUGUUUAAUUAAUUAUUUAUGAAUAUUUUAAAAGUUGUAGAAUAUAUAAACCAACAUAAAUUAAUAUUAAAAAUAAUUGUAUCACUAAUAAAAAAUGGAAUAAAAAUAAUAUUCAUAUUAUAAAAAUUUAGUUAAACUUGCAUUAAUACAAAUAAAUCGAAAUACAAUAAAAAGAAACAACAAAAGAUACAAUCAUGGUGCUGGUUGCGAAGACGAACCAUGAUAUUGUGGAUUGACACAAGAUGGAUCAGGAUAUAGUGAUCGAGGUGUAGGUCGAUAAAUUAGUUGAGAUGUGGGACCCAUAGGUAUCAUUAUCUGGGGAGCCAUAGGUGGCGACAUUGAUGGGGUCAAAGGUGGUGGUAUACCUUGGCCAAUAUUUGAUGUCCCACCAUGGUAUCCAAGAUUGUUCACAAGAUAUUCUUUCAUGGAAUCCAUCUGCCGUUUCAUUUCAAGAAUAAAAUCAUCUUUUUUCUUUAUCUCCUCUUCUUUAUUCUUUAUCUCCUUUUGCAAUGCUCUUAACGAUGAACUGGGAUAUGAUGACUUCACCGAGUAGGAAUGUGAUGAAGAGCUUGUACUAACUAUAGAUUUUGGCAUACGAGGUGCACCAUAUACCCUACCCUUUGUAACUCCUCCUGAAGCCACACACCAAGCUGCUCCAUCAAAUGAAGGAUGAUUUUCCCGAUUAGUUCCAUACUUUGAAAUCAUCUCCAUUUUAUAAUUUUCCUACAAAUAAAAUACAUGCAAUAAUAAAUUCAUUUGAAUGUUAAAUAAUACUUAAGUUAUAUUAUGAAAUAAUCAAAUAAAAAUACAUACAACCACUUUUUUAGACUUGUUGUCGACGAAGCUACCAGACUGCUUAGCACUUUGAUGCAAAGCUGAAAAGACAUCAUCCCAUGGAGGUUCUUUUCCACCAGCUUCCUCUUGCUUUCAAGAUUAAUAAAUAUUAUACAAGAUAAAUAUAUAAAUUUUAAUUCAUUAUCUUAAGCAUAAAAAAAAAUCCUCACCAUGUUAGCUCGAUAUGAUGCAAAUGACACUGUUCCUCUAGAAUGAGUGCUUAUUUUGCCAUCUGUUUUAGUUAAUCGAUUCCUCCUAGUAGAUUCAGACCUCCUUUGAAAUUCAAGGGUGGACCAAACAUCUUUGAUCAUUUGAUUCCAGUCGUCAUUGUUUAUCUAAGCAGGACCUUUAUCAAGGCAAUCUAUAAUAUUUGUAGUGUUUUCAUUUGACAUGGCUUUCUUGCGAGCUCGUGUCAAUUGUUGAUUCAAAGCAAUCCUAGCCUUAUCUUCCCAAAUAUUACGAAUAAUCGACUCAUCUUCCUCAGGGAAGGAAUAUUUUUUCUACCAAAUAAUAUAUAUAUACACCAAGUAAAAAGAGUGCACAAAAUUUCAAAGUAUGAAAAUGAUUAAUCAUAUUGUGUUAUCUUGUUCAGAAUUUGCAAGAUUAUGUAAUAACUAAAGAAAUUAAAUGAUAUUAAAAAGUAAAUAAGAAAUAAGAACAAAUUAGAACACAAAUCAAUCUCUGCUACAAUACCUGUGUUGGAGAAGAGAUGCAUAUUUAUGGUUAUCCGUAAAUAAAAAAAUGAGAGGAAUAUUGCAACUCCUUAAUCCAUAUCUUAUUGAUUCAGCAAACUACAUAAACUAAACACCCCACAGAUAAAAGAAAAAGGAAUAUAAAGCAAGUGAAUCCUGACAAGAUUUUUCAUUUCACAUGCAGGUUCAAAAAUCAAUACCCCAACACAUCAAUAAAGUAGUCUCAAUGAAAAAGCGAAUAUAUUUCCUUUUGAACCCAAACACAAAUAAUUUACAAGAAUAUUAUAAACAGAGCAAAAAAAAAAAUAUGGCAAUUAGUGUUGGUUCUUACCUUGAACUCUUUAAAGAGUUCAUCCCUGCACAUUGAAUCUACUUUUUCCCAAGAGUGCCAUGCUCCCUUAAAAUUAGACCUCAAAAUAUCUCCGAUUGCACGUCCACACGAUGCAUUAUUGAACCUGAAAAAAUAUAAUAACAAACUUUUAUUAAACAAAUAAUUACACAAUACUAAGUAAUUUUUUUCAUACCUGAAAAUAUAACCUUAAUAAGUUAGAUUUUAAAAGUUUCAACUUACUCUGUUGUUCCAUACAAACAAAGCUCUUUUUUUCUUGUCAUUGGAUCUAUUUGUGUGUCAAAAUCCUUCCUUUUAACACUUUGAUCAUAAUUGUAUGGAGAACAGGUUGAACCGUGGUUUGAUGGGACACCAUCUUGAUCCUCAUCAUAUACACCUCUCUCAUUACUACUAGCUCUCUCAUCACAUACACCUCUCUCAUUACUACCGUCUCCCUCAUCUUCAUCUCUAAUGUUCGCAUCAUCAUCAGUAUCACCAUCAUCACCCUCAACUCUCUCAUAACUCCUAUAUGCAUUAUGUCCUCCAUAAACAAGUUGGUUAUCUCGAGAGAAACCUCCUUGAGUUUGAAGCAAAUCUUGAAAGUGAAAGCCCUCACAAAGUUGAUAUGCAUCAACCCUCUCAUAAUCAUGUUGAGGAGGAUGUGUACUCCCCAAAAUAGGUAUAUAAUACUCCUUCGAGGUCUGAUACACAGGUUGCUGAAAUGUGGAUCCUUUGUUAUUACGCCUUGAUGGAGUUUGAAAUGAUUUGGAUGAAGUGGACCUGUCACUCCUUGAAGUGGACCUGUCACUCCUAGAAUCUAAUAUGGAUCCUCGUCGAGGCAUGCUAAAAACCAUAAAAAAUAUAUGCAUUACUAUCAAUAAUUAUUGAGUUGAGAAAAUAUAAAACUAACCAAGCUGCACAAUUAUAUCAAAGAAGGAAUGCAAAAUUGUUUCCUUUGUUCUUCAUCCAGGUACAUAUAUAUCAUUGAAGAAGCAAGCAUGGAUAGAAGCUAAGCAUAAAAAUAAAAACAGCAUGAAUUAAUUAGUGGUGUGGCAAUCAUGUAUCUCUACAUGGAAUGGGACAAAAUAGCAGUGAAUUCAUCCACCAAAGUAUUAGCACCAACCGUUGUGCACUGAAACAAAACACACCAUUUUAAAGCCAGUGAAAUGCCGAAUAUCAUCCCAUAUACCCAUAAACUUUUCACCUUGCUUCCAAUAUGUAAUCAGGUCAAGCAGAUCCAGUCGAAAAAAUUUGUUUGGUUGGUUACCACACUGUUUAGUGAACCUCGACAGUCUACGCAUAUCCAUAUAAGAAACACAUAGUGACAUUUACAGGAAUUUAACUCAAUACUGUAUGGUUAUCCAUUAAUCCAAUUGCAAACCAUUUGAUGGCCAGGUGGGUCCAACAAUCAUACAAUGAACCUAUGCUCCAGUACCAAUUAUAAAAAAUACUAAUUCCAUGCUACUAUACUAAUGGUUGAAAAUAUUAAACACUCAAACAUUUAAAUCACUCAAGCUUUUAUUUAAUGGUUGAAAAUAUUAAACACUCAAACAUUUAAAUCACUCAAGCUUUUAUUCACUGAUAUUCAACACACACAUUUAAAUUCUGCAUACAAGACCCCUAUAUUCUUAGAUAGAUUAGAAGCUGAAACUAUCAUAAUCUAAUAAAUAUUCUAGUUAAUGUUUUUAAUGAUAAUCGAUAAUAUUAUUAAUAUCAUGUUAUCCAUUUAAAAAAAAAAAAAUUAUAAUUAAUUAGUUAAACAAGAAUCUCGAACACAUAUUAUUUAUUAUCUCAACAGCAAGUGCCUCUUUCGCACCAAUAAUUAGAGCUUUCUAGUGCUUUAUUUAGUUUAGUUAAGUUUAAGGCAUCUAAUGAUGGAUUGAAUCUAGUGGAACCUUUUCUUUACAGGUUUGAUAUCGAGGCAGAGAGGUAUUUUCCAUUGUUUGGAAGCAUGUUCGAUGUCCCCAUAUAAAAUUAAUUUGAAAGAUCUCCAUUCAAUUAUCCCUCUCUGUAUGAUAAAAGAAACAAAGCUGCCGACAUUACUCACAGUUCACAGAUGGUGAGCUCUGCUCUAUGGGUUGGCUGGUAGACAUUUUAAUUUUGAUUUCAAUUUAAAAUACAAAACAAAUCCUCUAUUAUUUGUGUUACACGCACCCAAGCUAUGAUUUUUAUCACACUCGCACACAAAUGAAAUCUAUAUAUAUACAAAACAAAUCCUAAUGCUCUAUUAUUUUUAAAUUUUUUUAAUAUUAGCACGUAAACUAAAAAUAUAUAUAUAUAUAAAAAUUGAAACAUAAAAAAACGCUUAAAUCUAACAUAAUCUUUAUCUGAUAAUGAUACUUUCCCUAUGGCUUACAAUUUGUUCCAUUUCAAAGCUUUAGUUUGAAAAUUCUUAAUUAUAUCAACAUCAAAAACUACAAAUGUGUUCAUUUUCCUUGCAUACGUUUCUAUAUUUAUCCUAAGUUUUAAUUAAUUAUAUAUGCGAUCGUGCAUCCACCUAUAGGUGUCAAAAUUAUAUAAAUAGACAAAACGUAUUCUCUCUGUAAGACCAUCCACUAUAAAACUCAAAAUAAACUACCUGUUUGUCUAUCUACACCGGCAAUAGGGGGAUUAUAAAUUCUUACUUCUUUGUAUCCAGUGCUAUCCAGAAACAGGUGCUAUCCAGUGCAUUCACUGUGCAAAUAAGGGUAAUAAUUCUUUUCAUGUAAAGAAAGAAAUUCUAUUAGAAAGACUAUGCAGCAAAACGAGGAGAAGACAGCCUACUGAAAAGAAAAUGACAACUAGGAGGAUAACGUAUUCUAAUACCAUUGAAUAUCAUCAUAGGUUUUAGGAACCUCCUCUAAAGGUGCUUGCAGUCAAGUGGCUGAAAGAAUUAAUGAAUUCCUCUCCAUUGAACUACUAACAUAAUUGUGCAUCAAAACCAAAUAAUCAAGGAUCUGGCAUUUUCACAGAGCAGUCAAAAUGGAACAAUCAAGAUUGGACAUUGGCAUAUUAUAAAGUUCCCAAAACCAAAUGAAAGCAUAAACCACAACGUCCUUCUAUUUUAGGAAGUAUUUCAACACCCUUUUUAUAAAAUAAUCAUACACAUUGUUCAAACUUCUUAUUUAAUUAUUCAAUUCAACUAGGAACCUGAUACGAGUUAGAUUUUAAGUCUAGAUUUUGACUUAUUAUAUAUUUUUAAAUUGAUUUUUUUUAUUUUUUUCAUUAAUAUCUUUCCUUACAGUAAAUAAAAAAACAUAUUUCAUUGUUCUUUUUAGAAGAUAUUUGAAAUCAUUUGCUAGAUCUAUUUUCUAUUUUUAUUUUCAAAUUUUGAAAUGACUGAACAUUUUGGUCUUUCUACCUAUUGAUUAACUGGUUUUGUAUAGAUAACUAUAUUUACAAAUAUGAGCACACAUGGUUUAUGUGCACAAAUACAAGUAAGCUGUAUUCAGAUUAAAGGGAGAUUGAGAAAAACUAAUUUGUAAAACAAUCAGAGUCAUCUUCAUGGGAAAGGAAAGGACAUAUCUUAUCUAUUCAACUUCUUUUUCUAAAUUCACUUGUAUGCACGGUAAGCUAAUAUAAUCAUGGAAGCAAUUAUUUGUGUUUUCAUGUCUUCUUUUCCAAUUCAUUUUACCCUUAGCACAUAAUAAAAACACACAAGACAAAACUAUGUUAAGAAAAGCAUACCAUAUUUCCCGACAAUACCAGCCUUCUUGGUUCUCUUGGUCUACAUAUCAGAAAAGAAAUUCAAAACAUAAAAACCAGGCACCAGACUAUCUGUAAUUUGAUUCUAGAGGAUAAAUUAAAAAAAUAACAGCAGAGUAACCUAUAUUUAUGUUUAAGUUCAUAUUUGCAAAUAUUUGAAAUGUUUAAGUUUCCUCAGUCUGUUAAAGAUUCAAGAAACCUAUUGAUUAACUUGUGUUCAUAAAUAAAUUUGCACUGACUACAAUUCUCAGUUCAUAAACCCUUAUUUUAUCGAAUGAAUAGCCUAAAACCAUUAUUCAAAUUAGCGAUAAAAUUUUUUUUGUUACCUGUGUUCUUGAGUUCUGGGCGAGCAAGAUGCAAUCUACACGGCAGAAGAACACCUGAGAUUGGAAAAGUUAGGUAAAAACUUUUAAGUGUAAGUUUAAUUGCAACAGAGAAACAAAUAAUUCCUAAAAUUAAUUACCUAAAUUAUUGAAGAAAAUAAUGCAAAACCCAACCCAAAUACAAAGAGUGGGGGUAAAUCAAGAUGUUCGAUGGUGAUAAUGAUGGGUAUAGUGGGAUGUUUCCAUGGGUUUGUGUUUCUGAUGGUUUACGAAGAAAGAUUGAAUCUGUUAGAGAUGUUGGAGACGAAUGAGAAGAAGAUGAAGAGAAAUGUUAGGGACAAAGGAAAAUCAGAUCGAUGAAGAGAGAGUGCUAAGUUAAUUGUUUUUCUACUGUCAUGGAUGCUAUGAUCAGGGGACGAAGGGGAUGAAGAGAUUCACUGCAAGUUAAUUAGCAUUUUCUGGGUUGUUUGUUUAUUUGCUCUGUUUACGUUUCUGAAGGGGAGAGAGUGUAAGUUCAGGAUUGCUAAUUAACGGUUGAGAUUGUCAAAGCUAAAUACUUCAUCAACGGUCUGUGUAAUUUUAGUUUUAGAUUAAGAUUUAAAUAUUUAUUUUUUCAAUCAGCAACGGAUAAUCCGUUGCAAAUUUAAUGUUGUUUUUAGCAACGGAUUUUCCGUUGCUAAAGUCUGUUGCUAAUAUUAAAAAAUUAAUAAAUUAUCCGUUGCUAAAAUCAGAUGCUAAUAGUCCCUUUUUUUAGUAGUGACAAUUGCAUUUAUCUUUCCUUGACACGUAGCUACGUAACGCAGACCACCGCUUCAUAAGUGUUCUCAGAGAAGGAAAAAAUCGAGACCGACUCAUUAAUUUAAGUGGAUUUAAUAAGUUAGUAUAAUUUUGAUAAUAUAAAUAAAAAAUAUACUAAUAAUAAAUAAAUUGAUAAAAAAAUAACAAAAAGAUAAAGAAAACCGAUUUGAACCCAUCCAUGUGGUGAUGGGGUACAGAACUACUGCCUCCUCCAUUGCUCUCCCUCUUGAGAGAUAAAACAAAAACAAGCACUGUAUAAGUAGAGGAUGGAGUGUGGGAGAGAAUUAAGUAGGCUACAAAGUUUUGUAAAUUAAGUAGGCUACAAAGUUUUGUAAGGUAAGGCAAGCGUUUAUUAUUUAUUUAUUUAUUUUUAAAGAAAUGUACAAAAAACCAAAAAACCGAUUAAACUGAGAAAAUAAAAAAAAAUAACCGAAAAAAUCAAACCGUAAAAAAAAACUGAUUAAACCGAUUCGAAUUUUUUUAAAAAUUUUCAGUUUGGUUCGAUUUCAGUUUAAUAAACCUAAAACCGAAAAAACCAAACCGAACUGAACCGGUCAGUUAAAAAAAAUACUAUAACAGCGUUUUAUAAUUUUUAACCCUAGCAUCUCUUUACUCCUUACCCCGCAGCCCUCACAAGCCGCCCCCAGCCCUCACAAAUCUCUCACACUCUCAGCAUUCACACUCUCACACUCUCACACUCUCAGCUUGAUAAAAAAUAAUUUUCCCAUCACUGUACAAAACUUCACAGAUCUAGUCGUCUAACAAGUUUUCAAUCUUCAUCUUGCAGAUUGGUAGAUCUUCAACAAGGCUUGGAGAAGUGUUGGGCUCCUCGUAGAUAAGCCUUUGUUGAUUAUGAACCAAUCUCUUAACGUUCUUCUUUUCUCUAAAAACAGUUCAAUCAGAUGCUCUAAUAUUUACAAGCUGCUGUGGCUGCUUCUUCUUCUUUCACUCUUGGUGCCAAAUACUAUUUGCUUUUAAAACUCUAUUUUUGUUGUUAAUGAGAGCGACAAGACAUUAAGCAUUCGAAACCAUUCUACAGAAGAUUAUGCAAUCCUUGUAAUGAAAUAUCACAUGACAUUAAGCACAAAACACAAUACAGGUUUUUGCCGGUUUUUCUGAAAAAUAACCGAACCGAAAUUGAUUGAUUUGAACCGGUUUCGAUUUGGUUUUGAUUGUUUUUUUUUAAUAAAAAAAAUCAAUUUAAUUAUUUUUUAUAAAUAAAAACAAAAUCAAACUGAAAAUAAUCACUAACUUGUAUUCAGCUGAUAACACAAGUAACUAGACAAUAGCAAAUAAUAAUAAUAAUAGAUUACAAUGGUUGAAAUAGGGUAGAACAUGAAUCUAGGUCGUGUAGUGAAAACUUUAUUAUAAUUUAUUUUUUUUAAAAAAAUAAUAAUAUCUUACAUAAAUUUAAAAACCAACUUAAACUAAAAAAAAGAAGGUAGAGAUAGCUAUUACUCACUAGCCAGCCAUUGUAUAAUGAAUUUUUAUUCAAAAUGAUGGCCAACAAACAGGAAUGCAAUGUCUUGCCAACCCCAACCGGCCCGAUUCAGUGCAAAAGCUUUCAGUAUGUUCCUCAACAACAGCCUAAAAUGGAGGAAGCCCACCAUGCCAGUGCAGGAGAUCAUGAAUCGAAGCGAUCUGUUUCAUGGAAGAAAACCUUUAGAUACUAUAACUGAGUUGGCUAUUAUUAAUGAACUGGCUUUAAACCUUUAACUCAUUGAUCAUGCCACCAAACAUAUGAUGUGGUUGACUAAAAGUGACUUAAUUUGAGAUGUUUUCAGAGAUUCUUAAUUUCUUUUUUGCCAAAUCCUCCUCAUAACCUCGCCAUCAGAUGAUUCCUCUGCAUCCAUUUCCCUGCAAUGGUGUGGAAAAACAUUGCGGUUUCAUUUGGCUAUGCACGCAGUUUCCACCGCGUAGCCAAAUGGGCUCUAGGAAGAAUUCUACUAUACCAUAACUGAUAUUUUUGUUUUAUUCAUGGAGCAAUGUUGCUAUGCAAAACAACACCAUAACAAGUGACAAGUACAUGUAAAAUAAGAAAAUCGAAGUACCAACAGCAUCGUAGAUGACCAACAUGACAGAGUCCUAAACUAGACCAAGUAAAUUUCAUGCUUAGUUCCAUGACUCAACAAGCUUGGACAGUGCCACAUGAGAAGAACCACCUUCAAUCAUUGCAGCCUUGGCUGCAUUUUUCAUAGUAAGUGCUCUCUCCCUAAUCAAUAUACCUUCAUCAGACACCAUCAAUCCUCUAAGAUUCUUCUCCACCUCAUCAGCACUUACAAAUCCAUCUUCAGACUCGUUCAUUGACAAAGCAAGCUUCAUUCCGUCCACUAGCACUGCCCUAUUCAGCGGUUGCUCUGCAUACAAUGGCCAAGCCACCAAUGGCACACCAGCACACACUGCUUCAAGUGUAGAAUUCCACCCGCAGUGAGUCACAAAUCCACCUACUGAACUGUGGUUCAAGAUUUCCACUUGUGGAGCCCAUAAUUUCACCACUAGUCCCCUCUCUUUAGUUCGUUCCAAGAAUCCAUCAGGAAGCAAAGAAUCCAAAUCAGGGUAUCCAUUUGGUUUGAUGGAUACACUUAGAUUAUGAAAAGGUGGAUCUCGAACCACCCACAAGAACCUUUGACCACUUUUUUCCAACCCAAUAGCUAUCUCCCUCAACUGCUCCUUGGUGAAUGGCUCUAAGCUACCAAAACAAAGAAACACAACGCUUUGGUUUGGUUGGGAAUCAAGCCAAGUAAUACACUUAUGUGCAUCUUCAGGACUGGUCUUGCUGCUACCACCUCUUUCAUCAGCAGCUACAAUCAAGGGACCUAUGCAAUAAAUCGGUGGCAUGGGGUUAUCAGGCACACAGAGCCCAUCUGAUGUUGCCCUUACAACUUUGGACUCGAGGAAUUCAAAUGUGUUUAUCAUAAUCCCAGCUGCUUGAGGGACUUGAGUGGCAAAAUCAAGGAAGUAUUGAUAGGCCUUAUUGUCCCGCUCAAGAAAAGGCUUUGGGAUGUCAGUAGCAAGAACUGGUAACAAGCCAGGAACAUUAAGAAAGUGCUCUUUCAUAUCUUUGAAACUUUUGGUGGUGUUUUGGUGAAGGGUAGGGAGGUGAAGAUAUAAAGCAAGAAAGCAAGCACCUGAAGUGAUAAAAAAGUAACUGGGAAUGUGAAGUUCAUUGGCCAAUGCAAAAGAAGUCCAUAAUAAGACCAUGAAUUUUACACGUUUUGGAUAUGUUGAUGAGUUCUUCAUGAACACGAGGUUUGCUGAAGUGACGGACCUCCAAAGUGAGUACUUCAAGGUGGGUUGCAGUUGUGGAAACUGGGGUAACAAUGGGGAGAUGAUGGAAUUUGAUGGAGGGAACACUGGCAGAAACAAAGUUUUGUAUGGUAAGGCAAGCGGUUAUUAUUUAUUUAUUAAAAAAUAUACCAAUAAUUUACUUGGUGAUAAUAUUAGAUCAAUCAAGGAAGCACAAGUAACACGACAAUGGCAAAUAAUAAUAAUAAUAAUAAUAGAUUACAAUGGUUGAAAUAGGGUACGUAGAACAUAAAAAUCUAAUGUCAUGAAGAGAAAGCUUUAUUACAAUUUACUUAUUUAAAAAAUUUACAAUAUCUUAAAUAAAUUUAAAAACUAAUUUAAACAAAUUAGAAAAUCCAAUAAAUUAUAUAAAAAAAUAAAAAUUAUAAAUAAACUAAAAAAAAAUUAUCAAUUUCAUCAAUACUUGAUUUUCUAAACUAAAUAGAAAAAAAAAUAAAAUUAUAAAAGAAACAAAUUAUCCUAAAUAAAAUAAAAUAAUAAUAAUUAUCAAAAUUUUUUUUUUAAUAAUAGUAAUAAUAUGUAACAAAGAAACGUGCAAGCAUAACAGUGUCGAACUCCAUGCCAUAAAUGUUCAAUGAUGAAAGUUGUGUAUGAUUCUUCAGAUUCUGUAUCUUGACAGAAAUUAUAUAAGAAGUUAGAUAUAUUAACAAUUAUCAUAACAAACUUACAAAGAAUUUUUUUUUUAUCAAAUAUAAAAUUUUUAUAAAUUAAAAAUAAAAUAAAGUUGAAAAUCAACAAGUGAAAAUAUACAAGCAUGAAUAUACAAGUAAACAAAAAAAACAAAUUCCCUUGAACAAGCAAAUACAACUAAAAAAAGACCAGAACAAAGGGAUUAAACUCCCUUGAAUAAAAGUAACAUGCAUCCUAAAUAAAAAUAACAAGCCAGCAGGCUAAACAAAACCAGCAACCAGACAAUAUUUUCAUGUAAUUUGUUUUUGUUGGAUUUUAGUAAGGAUACAUAUCUCUUGCUAAGUUAAAAGUAAAGUAUUCUUAAAAAAAAGAAAAAGAAAAAUUGACACAAACUAUGGAAAAAAAAACAUAAAUGCCAAUUGAGCUUAAUGCUAUUCUAUGCUGGCUAAGUUGCUCCAUUUGUCAUGUCUCUUACCAAUAAUUUUUAUAUUAGAGACCCUUUUUACAAUAAAUAAAAGAUUUUAUCAGCAAAGAAAAUUUAUUAUAUGAUUUUUCAUGUAAUUUUGAAAUUUUUUUCUUACUAUUAUUAGAAAGGUUCUCAGAAUAUUUCCAUAUAUAUAUAUAUAUUGAAAUCGAUACAUGAAAGACGUCACACAUCUUAAAUUUAUAUUGGGCUGGAUCGUUUUUAAUAAUAAUACAUGAAAGACGUCACACACUUAACGACGAUACAUCGACCCAAUUCAUUUGUCUUUCCAUGACUCAACAAGUUUAGACAAAGCCACCCGAGAAGAACCACCCUCGUUCAAGGCAGCCUUUGCUGCAAUUUUCAUGGCUAUGGUUCGCUCCCUAAUCAACUUACCUUCCUCCGACUCCAUCAACCCUAGAACGCGCUCCUCCACCUCGGCCGAACUCACAAAUCCGUUGUCAGAUUCAUUCAUCGGCAAUGCAAGUUUCAUUUCCUCCACCAAGAAGAUCCUAUUGACCCUCUGCUCUGCGUAUAGUGGCCAAGCCACCAAUGGCACACCUGCGCAAACUGCUUCCAGCACCGAGUUCCAUCCACAAUGACUUACGAACCCGCCUACCGAUGGAUGGUUCAGCACUGCUACUUGCGGAGCCCACGACUUCAGCACGAGUCCCCUCUCCUUGGUUCGAUCAAAGAAACCUUCAGGGAGCAAUGAGUCUAAAUCAAUGUUAGGAUGUGCCGAUAGUGCCACGCUUUUUUUAUCAGAAGGUGGAUUCCGAACCACCCACAAGAACCUGUGGCCACUUCUCUCCAACCCGAAAGCUAUUUCUCUUAACUGUUCCUUGGAGAACAGCCCCAAACUACCAAAACAUAGAAAAACAACACUUCCAACUGGUUGCGAGUCCAGCCAUGUUAGACACUCCAGCGUAGUACCAUUGCGAGUGCCUGCAUCAUCUUUAGGACCUCCAGUGGCUAUCAAUGGUCCGAUACAGUAAAUUGGCGGUGUGCGGUUAUUGGGGACACAUAAUCCCUCUGAUAAUGUUUUCACAGCUCUGGCUUCAAGUGAUGCAAAAGUGUUUACAAAAAUACCUGCCGAUUCGGGAAAGCUGCUUGAGGAAUCUAAAAGGUAUUUAUAGGCCUUAUCGUCGCGAUGAAGUACCGGUGUUGGCAUGUCAGACGAUGGAAUUGGUGGAACACCGGGAAUAUGGAGAAGGGACUUUAGAUCUUUAAGACUUUUUGUGGUGGUGUUAUGAAUGGUUGGGAAAUAAAGGAAACCAGCGAGAACACCAGCACCAGAAGUGAAGAAGUGGUAGCCAGGGAUAUUGAGUUCCUUGGCAACAGAGAGAGCAGCACAGCAAAAGAAGUCCACGACAAGUCCAUGAAUGGUGUUGUUUUUGGAAAUGGACAGUAGUUCUUCACGAACGUGAGGAUUGCUGAGGCGAAGGACCUCAAAAGUGAGUUCUUCAUGAUGAAUGUUUUUUGUAGAAGGGAGGGUUACAGUAGGAAGAUGGUGGAAUUUGAUCGAGGGAAUGGUGGCAGCAACGUUGGCAAUGUAAGGGGCAGUGGAGCCAGAAUCAUAGGGCACAGAAGUGAUGAGUAUGUGAAUAGAAAGGGAAGGUUUUUGGGUCAAUAAGAGUUUCCCUAGCUCCACCAUAGAUAUCAAAUGGCCAAUAGGUGGUGAUGGGAACAGAACUAUGGCCUCCUCCAUGGCUGCUCGUACCCUUUCCUAUACCUCUGUGUACUUGGAGUGACAGAAAGAGAGACAGCAAGCAAUCUGUGUGGAGCAGUUUCAAAAAGAAAGGAAUAAGGUCACAAGCAGCAUCUGAGCAUGAAAUAGGGUCAGAUGACCCUAUUUAUCCUUCUCAAAUUCGGUCAAGAGUAGAUCACGUACUCUGCCAGCACAAUAAAAUCGUAGCAACCUACCAGUCAAACGUAAAAUUCUUAUAGCAGGACAAAAUCCAGGACAGUGAAAAUAAUAAUUUAAGCAAAAUAUUGUAGUCAGUACUGACGUCAGAAUCCAUGUCUUUUAGACUUUUAGUAGCCAGAAUACAUCAUCUAAAUUUUCAAGGCAAAAGAAGACAAUUGCAUUUAUCUUUCGUUGACACGUAGCAACCACUUCAUAGGUGGUCUGCAUUACGCGCGGACUACCGCUUCAUAAGUGUUCUCGGAAAAAAUCGAGACCGACUCAUUAAUUUAAUUGGAUUUAAUAAGUUAGAAUAAUUUUGAUAAUAUAAAUAAAAAAUAUAAUGAUAAUACAUAAAUUGAUAAAAAAAAAUAACCAAAAAAGAUAAAGAAAACCGAUUCGAGACCAUCCAUGUGGUGAUGGGGUACAGAACUACUGCCUCCUCCAUUGCUCUCCCUCUUGAGAGACCAUCCAUGUGGUGAUGGGGUACAGAACUACUGCCUCCUCCAUUGCUCUCCCUCUUGAGAGAUAGAACAAAAACAAGCACUAUAUAAGUAGAGGAUGGAGUGUGGGAGAGAAUUAAGCAGGCUACAAAGUUCUGUAAGGUAAGGCAACAGCAUUUAUUAUUUAUUUAUUUUUAAAGAAAUAUACCAAUAAUUUACUUGAUGAUAACACAAGUAACACGAAAAUAGCAAAAAAUAAUAAUAAUAAUAGAUUACAAUGGUUGAAAUAGGUAGAACAUAACAAUCUUAGGUCAUGAAGUGAAAACUUUACUAUAAUUUAUUUUAAAAACAAAUUUACAAUAUCUUAAAUAAAUUUAAAAACCAACUUAAACAAACUAAAAUAUUCAAAAAAAUAAAAUUAAAUAAACUAAGAAAAAUAAAAUUAUCAAUUUUGUCAAUACUUGAUUUUUUAAAACUAAAUAAAAGAAACAAAUUAUAAAAAAAACUAAUUAUCCUUAAUUAAGUAAUAAUAAAAUUAUUAAAAAACUUUUUUUCUUAUAAUCCUUCAAUAUCACUAGGCUUUGUACAAAAAUCAAGCCUUCCUCUCUUUCUCAUCUCAACUGUCCAGCCAUUUAUGUGCUAGGUAAGAAAGAGACGAGCAAGCAAAGCAUUGUCGUACUCUCCAUGCCAUAAAUGUUCAAGAGAAUACAUAGUUGUGAUAGGAAUUAUUUUUUAAAAUAGUUUUUAUUUGAAAAUGUAUUAAAAUUAUUUUUAUUUAUUUUUAAGGUGAUAAUAUAAUAUUUCUAAUUGUAAAAUAGAGAAAAAAUUUCCAUCGGUGAUAGUGUUAUAUGCAGUAAAUAUUUUCCAACUCUCUGAAAUAUACUAACGGAUUUAGUCCGUCGGUAACUCCGUUUGUGAUAAUAAAAAAAUAAUUUUUUUAAAAAUAAAAUUGUAAAAAUAAACUUGAAUAAUAUAAAAUACAAAUAUUCAUUAUAAUUUUAUAUGUUCAAAUAAAAAUUAAACUAGAACAAUAAUGGCACUAGAGGAGAAGGAGGAAAAGGAGGAGGAGGCUGGUUGUUCCCGGAAUCAUAAGAUCAAAAAGAGAGUGCUCACGUACCACUCAUCUGUGAUCUCAUGUCCAUAACCAUUUGGCGAAGUUGUUCAUAAUCCGCCGAGAGUUGCUCAUAUUUUUUAGUGAGAUGAGUCAUAUGUUGUUGCAAGACCACGAACUCCUGAGAUUGGGUGCUGGAUACUGAUUAUGAGCUCCAAAUAAUUGAGACACUACGGGUCGUUCGCAAGUUCUCCGCUGUAGUGUUGGAGAGUCCGUGCACCUAAUUUCUAUCGGGUCCACCAAACGAUCCUACCUCUAUCCACAAAUCCGGAUUGAAAUCCAGGUGGGUCGAAAGAUCGUCCCCGUAUCUCUCCCUCAACCGGCUGUUACAUGUCUCCUGAAAAUAAAAAAAGAAAUCAUCAAAUUCAAUUAAAGAAAAUAAUAACUUGCAAAAGAAAAAUGGUUCAACGAACAUACUAUAAAGUGUUGAGUGCGGUUGUCAACGAACUGUUGCACUCCUUUUUUGUGGUCUUCACUCAGCACGUGUGUCUCCACAAAAAGCUCUAUUGGGCUUGGCUCACGUCCAAGAGCCAUAGUCUGUAAGAAAAAAAUAUUGUAAAUUAAAUAUACUUAUAAAUAACAACAAAUUAAUUAAAGAUAGAUGUCAUUAAAAUUAAUCUUACCAACCGCUUCGCAUGUGCAAUGAACGGAACGGAGCCACAGGUGUGCGUGGUAAUCGAACUGUGAAUUUGCCGGUUCUAGUUCUCGGCACCAGACUGUGAGCGUCGCGUGAACCGCUUAGACGUCACGUGCUGAAUAUAUUGCGCCCAUAUAUCCUCCGGGAUGUAUGGCGGCCUGGAAUCCUUCCAAACCAUCACGUCAUUUCAGCCUGGUAGAGCGUCAUCUCUGGUAUAUUUUUUAGCUUUUUUUUGCACCUCAUACCAAAAGUCACGCAACCUACAUGAUACAAAUGUAUUUUAUAUGAGUUAAUGACAAAUGAGAUUUUAAUAUAUAAAAGGUUUUUAAAAAAUAUCAUAUUGUUUUCGAUAUUACCUAGUUGCAGCGUGAUUCUCCCAAACCCUCAUCGCAACAUUAUCAUUUGCGCUAUCCCACUCAAUUGUAUUCUGUGUAUAAAAAAUUUAUAAAAUAUAAAUCAAUAAUUUCAAUAUAACAUAAAAAUAGUUAAAAUUUUAAGUUAACAAUAACCUCAAAUCUUCUGAACCAUGCAUCGAUAUAAAGUUUCCAAUCAAGAUGUCUGGAAACCUGACUCCAUUGAAAUAAUGGAAAUUUCAUCAAUGAUUUAAACGCCAAUGUUAUUACUUGGGUGUCCGCAAUGUUUGUGAAUCUGAAAAUCAAUAAAAUUAAUGAAAUAUUAGUUGUUCACAAAUUGUUAAACACAAACCAACUCAAAUCAAAACAAACUUACAUUGAAAGGUUGUCCUUCCAAUGUGUCUUGUACUUGCAGGAGAAUUAACCGCGCUGUGAAGGGACACCACCUCCUGGAAGAGACAGUAUCGUGAGUCAAUGCAGGUGCCUCUUCUUGGUCGGCACCUAAUGAUGUUAUAAAAACAACCCAUAACUAAUAAUGAAACUUUAAAUUUUAAAUGAAAGUGAUGAAUCACCUACCGUAUGCUCGUGAUGACCUAGCUCCUCCUGCCUAAUGCCCUGCUCCCGAAAUAACUCCUGAAUCAAUCAAGGUGCACAACAUUAUUAAUCCAUUAAUAUUUAUCCUACGUGCCAAAAUUUGAAGCACAUAAUAUCUUCUAUUUAAUUUGGUUUUGCACCAAAAAUUUCCAUUCAUUUGUCACAUCAUUCUCAACAUAAAGUUUAAUCAAUUUUCUUUUUUAACUCACUUAAAGAAUUCUUCUAUGAACUAUUCUUACCAUUUAUUUAUUCAUUCUUUUCACAUUCUUAUGAUGUUUCUUCACUUGUUCAUACUUUGAAUACUUCAAAUAAGAUGAGGAACAUCAUUUCUUAAACAUAAAACAAUAAAAACCUCAUCUCUCUAUUUCCUCAUCCUUAGUUACAAGUUCAUUCUUCAAAAUUAUCCAAUUUCUCUCUUAUUUACUACUUAAAUUCACUAUUUCUAUACUAUUCCACUUGCAUGUCAUCAUGCUUACUACUUUUCUAAAAAUCCCUAAAUUCUCAUAAGAACCUUAAUUUAAAGAGUCAAGAGUAUAAGAAAUUAAAUCAAAUUUAAUUGUCACUGUUUGAUAACUUACUCAAAUAAACUCAAAAACACUUCAUUCAAGUAAGAAUCUUAACUUUUCAUGCUUACCAAUCUAAGUUCUGCCAACUUCUCUUCUCCUCCUAGUGUGGUCGGCCCUCCACUCCCUUCUUCUAUCUUUCUUCACUUGAUUCUUUUUUAAUUUAAUGUUUUAAGUCUUUCAAUCUUACAAGUUCCAAAGCUCUUUCUCACUUUUUCUUGUUUUUCUCUUUAUUUCUAAUGAUUUUCUCUUGGUUUUCACUCUUCCUUUCUUUCUAUCCUAUGGCCGGCCACUUCCCCUUGUAUUAGCUUAUAAAUUGUAACAAUUUAAUUAAUUCCAUUCAUGUCCCUCAAUAGUAAAUUUUCAUGUUUUUGGCAUAAAAUUCCUGAGUACCGAUACAUGUUAGACCACCUUUUUACCCAAGUUAUUUUGAUUUUCAUUAAUUUACAUCCCAAUAGAUUUAUUUCAUCAUAAUCCAUUUCCAUCCGGUAUUUAUUCGUGUUUUUUUAUUUUUUAUUUUUCAGCUAUUUUUGAAAUUUUAUUUUAUUAUUAUUUUUUUCCAUUCAUUUCUUUCCAUUAAAGUAACCAUUCAAGAUAGCUACUUAUCUUAACAUUUAUUUCAGUGUCCUAUCAAAUUUUGUUUUAUCUGGGGGCUUACAGGUGAUGUGCACAGUGAAUGAUAGAUUGUGUUUGUAUUCCCUGUCUAUCCUCCCUGCAAAUACUUAAAUUAAAAGCCGCACAUACAACACAAUAAUAGUAGUUCACAUAACAAUUAUAAAAUAAAUAUUUCUUUGUACAAAAUUUCAUCCAUAAAUAUUACAUUAUAAAAAAUUGCAUUACACUUUCGUAUUAUGAUAGUUAGUUAGAAUUAUCUUUUUCUUCUUCAAUUGAAUCGUCAUCAACUCCAUCGCAAUCUUCAACGUUGAUAACAUUGUUAUCAUCAUCUUCGUCAACUUGUGCUUGUCCGCUGGAACUCAGAACAACAUUCAACUCCUCAACGUCAACAUCAACAAGGGUACUAUCGAAGACGCGAAAAUUUAAAUUUUCUUCUAAGUCAAUCGAUGGAGCAGCUCGAUAUGGUUCAACCAACUCACUAACUGGAAAGACAUUAUUUCUCACAUUUGUGUCUUUGUUCUCAUCCUAAACAACCUCGACACGAUCCUUGGGUUUUCUUUUUAAAACGGAUAAUCAAUCAACUCUUGAACGAUCCUUUCUGAAGGAAGGGGUAUAUGUAUAAUAAAUUUGUUGGCAUUGCUUGGCGAAAAUAAAGACAUCGUUUAUGUUGCGGAGACUAGCUUUUAAGUUAAUUUCGACCAGAAUAUAGUGGGGAUCUACUCUGAUUCCUCUAUCAGUGAUGUCAUACCAAUAACAUUUGAAUAAAAACACUCUAUUAUGCUCAUUAUGAUAUUGCAAUUCAAUGACCUCUUCUAAUUUACCAUAAUAGUCAACUUCAAACUCACUACAAAUAGAUCUCUUAACACAAACACCACUGUUAUAUGUCAUUCUUCCAUGUCCAUAUUCUUUAGUAUGAAAAACAUAUCCAUUGAUAAAAUAUAUGUUGUAGCAGUUAACUUUUCUUUCAGGACCCAGGUUUAGUAAAGACAAUGAAGCACUAGCAUUCCUUCCCAUUUGAUAAACCUUAUAUACAAAGUACAACAAUGAACAUUAAACAAGAAUUCUGUAAUGAAAUUAAGUACCAUGAUAGAUAAUGAGUUUGUGAUAGUACUUACAUGUGUUUUGAACCACGUGGCAAAUUGUUCAUCCUGUAAUCGAAAGAUUUUAGAUUCGAUCAGUUGUGAGUUAUUAAAUAAUAAAUAUUGUCGAUGUUGCCUACGAGGUUUUAAAAAAUGUAUGAGUUUGUGAUAUUACAAUAGAUAAAUAGUCCAUUUAUAACAAAGUUUAAGUAGUAUAUAUAAUUACUGAAUAAAAAAUCUUAAUUCAUCGUAGUUAAAUAGCACAUAAUUAUGUGCUUGUUUGAAUUCUAUUUCAGACAAAUAUCUUUCCCUUGCAACAUUUUUUAAGUGUGGAUCAUCUAGGAUUGGAGAAUAUUGACAAGUUCUCACUCGAAGGCACUUCACCACCAUCAUCAUGCCGCGGAACGCGGUUGAUUCUUGUUGUCAAAUAAGGCUCGAAAUAGUAUGAAAUAAAUAUUGAGAUCUCCUCAACAAUAUAGGUCUCACAUAUUGAAGCCUCAACAUGCGCCUUGUUCUUAACCUUUUUUUUUUAAGAUUGAAUAAGUACCUACAUGGAAUUAAACAAAUAUUUUCAAUUAAGAAAAUUAAUAAAAAUAUAUUAAUAAUUACAUUGCAUCUGUAAUAUAUAACCUCUCGAAUGGAUACAUCCAUUUAUACUGGACUAGGCCUCCAACUAUUGCCACAUAUGAUAAAUGUAUGGGUAAAUACUCCAUCGAGUCAAAAAACGAUGGAGGGAAUAUCAUCUCAAGUUUGCAUAUUGUCUUGAUGAUAUUCGUUUCAAGCAUCUCAACAUGAUGUGUCCGCAACUUGCUGAAGCAUAUAUUUUUAAAGAAAUGACUAAUCUCCGUGAGUGCAUCCCAUAUCCCCUUUGACAAUAAAUCACGAUAAGCUAAUGGAAUGAGUGCUUGCAUAAACACGUGGCAGUCAUAGCUCUUCAUUCCAUACAAUCUGCAUUCCUCUAAAUUAACCAACCUUGAUAUGUUCGAGGCAUGUCCAUCAGGAAAACACAGACUCUUAAGUCAUUGGUAGACUAGUAGUUGUGCAUUCUUCUCUAAGGCGAAGCUUGCUUUGGGCUUUGCGACCCGUGACCCAUUAAUAACCAACUCCAUAUUUUUACGGUGAAAAAACAACGUUAUAUCUAUUCUAGCCUUGAUGUUGUCUUUUGUCUUCCCUUUCACGUCUAUGACCGUGUUGAAAAUGUUCUCAAUCACGUUCUUCUCUAUGUGCAUGACGUCAAGGUUUUGGCAGAGAAGAUUGGUCUUCCAAUAAGAAAAAUUCUGUCGGUGUUUUACAAAAUCUAAAACGAACCACAACAAGCACAAAAUUAUAAAUCCAUACUACAAGUUUGUUUGAGAAAAAACAAUAAACUAAGUAAAUACCCAAACAAAAUACAUAUACUAAAAAAACAUUCAAUAAUAAAAUUAACAUUUUAAAAUUGUGUUAAAAUUAAAAAAAGAUAGAUUUACUUACUUAAAAUGAAAAAUGCACAAUAAAUCAGAACACGUCACUGUACGGACACGUCACUAUACGGACAUCCUGGUUUGAAUCCCACUGUAAUUCCAUCGGUAAAAUCAUCCAUAAAAACUUACACAUCAUCGCAUUGUUUGGUUUUUUAAAAUUCAUUAUAUUCUAUCUAUGAUUCCCCGGUAUAUACCGAUAGAAUGUUUCUUUCGGUAUAUACCGACGGUGUUAGCGAUGGAAAAAAACUCGUCGGUAAUUUCAUUUGUAGUCAUUGAAUUUCUGGUAGUGUGAGAAUUUAUUGUGUUUGACUAUUGUGGUUCUUUGCAAGUCUUUUUAAGCAGAACAAAGUUUUGGGUAUAGUUUCUAUAUAGACAAAAAUUCUGUCCAAAUUUGUUAAAAUUGGAAAUUUUCUUACUUUAUAAAGUCAUUAACUAAAUCAAAUGUUAGAUUAACAAACUAAAUAAUAAAUCUUAUAAGAACUAUAUUUUUGUUAGAUUUAGAUACAAGGAAAGUUAUUGCUAGAAUUUAAAUGGAAUGAAUAAAAUGAUUACUGUAAUUUAAUUGAUGUCACACUUUAGAUCAAGUAAUCUCUGUGGAGCAGUUUAAAAAAGAAAGGAAUAAGGUCACAAACAACAUGGAUGUGUUUGAGAUUGUGGUAGCGGUGGCUGUUCAAAGUGCUUUUCGAGUAGAAAUGCAUCAAAAUAAAGUUUUUUUAUUUCUUAAAAAUUAUUUUUGACAUUAGCACAUCAAAACGAUCUGAAAACAUUAAAAAAAGUUAUUUUACGCAAAAAUAAAUUCAAAAUUUAAAGAAACAUGGUUUAUAUCGCAUUUUCAAACACACCCUUAAUCAGAGCAAGAAAUAGGGCCACAUACAUGUUGUUCCACUAAAGUUUUCAAUGAUUUGUUUAUAUACCUACUACAUAAUCGUUCUCAAAGUGGCCAGAUACAUGUUGUUCCCCUAAAGUUUUCAAUGAUUUGUUUAUAUACCUACUACUACAUAAUCGUUCUCAAAGUCUUUUAUCUUGGUUUCUCUUACUCCGCCAAAACAAUAAAAUCGUAGCAAUCUACCAUUCAAACCUUAAAUUCUGAAAGCUGGACAAAAAUCAGGACAAGUGAAUAUAAUAAUGUAAGCAAAAUAUAGUACUCAGCACUGACAUCAGAAUCCAUGUCUGUUUGGCGCCAAGAUACGUCUUCUAAAUUUUCAUGGCAAUGGAAGCCAAUUGCAUUUAUCUUUCCUUGACAUGUAGCUACUAGCUAGCAUGACCAUCAGACGAGAAGGGCAGGACCACGAAAUUUCAGACUUCAGUCUCAUCAUGAAAACCAAAAUUUGUUUCUAUCAUUAGCGAUACUUCUUUUUUUUUUUU